CUACUAAGAAGCAUGCAAGGAAAAGGAAAUGUACAUCUAUUAACCCUAUAAUGCAAUAUGAUCAACAUAUAUAUAACUUAGACAUAAAAAGAAACCCGGAUGCUUCGGGAUGACACCCCCCACCUCUUGAGGGUAUGAAGGCUCUAGAAAUGCCCUCCAACGGACGUUACGACAAAGUCUUGGUCUUCUUGGUCCAAAAUGACGCUCAAUCGGCCUUGUUUUGCCGAUAGCUCUUGACCCACUUGACGAAUGCGAAAUCCAACCUCGCCCCCGCGUUUAGCCACCUACCAAUUAGGUUAGAGGAGGGUCAAAUGAGAUCAAUCCUCUACUUUUCCAAAAACCCUAUUUUGGAGUCCUAGGGUUCCCAUCUUGCCAUUUGCAAUUUGGAACCCUAACUCUAGCUUCAAUCCACCAACAAUGGUGCUUGGGUUCCAUUUGACCCCAUUCCCAAAGCUAAAAACCAAAAAACCCCAAAUUUCACAAGCUAGGGUUAGAAGCUUAACUCUAGGUUAGCUCCAAGAGAGAAGAGAGGAAGAGGGAGAGGUCCAAAGCCUUCCUAGAUUGAUCUUCUUCUUCUUCUCCUUCCUUUUCUUCCUUCUUUUCCUUCUGUUUCCUUCUUUUUCUUCUUUUUCUUCUUUUCUUCUAGAGAGAGAGAUGGAGAAAGAGUGUGAGAGAGAGAGGGAGUAGAAUGAGAGAGUGAGGGAGUAAUCUCCCAUGUAUACCCCUCUAACUAAGGCCAUUUUGCAUAAAAGCCCCUCACCUUUCAUCUCUGUGCACUGCCCUCACUGGGCUGUCUGCGCGCGGAGGGACCGGUCUCCCCGACUUGGGACCGGUCCCCGAGAGCUUCAGCUCGGGUCACGCGUUCGGGUACCGGUCUCUCCCAGAGAGACCGGUCCUCGGGAGACCGGUUCCUUCCUGAGAGACCGGUUCCCGAGAGCUGGGAUUUAGGACUUAGCCAAAUUUUGGCUUUUCUCGCUGGGAUCACGUUCGGGAACCGGUCCCUCACUGCCAGGGACCGGUUGCCUCAAGCAACCCCCGCAACACCAGCCGAUGGGACCGGUCCCUCCCUGCCAGGGACCGGUCCCCGAGAGCAAUUUUGCUCCAGUGCAGAUUUUGCACUAUUUACUCCCGUGGACUCGUUUCCAAUGCACUUUUGGUGAUUUGAAUACCUUUGGCUUUUUUUUCCAAGGUACACCAACACGACCCUUGGUCGAUUCUGGAUGAAGUCUAAUCCUCGUAUUUCAAGAAUUCACUUCCUCACAAGCUUACCUCAAACAAAGUCCUCCCAUGGUGAGGAAGAAGAUGAGAAGAAGAAGCUUCCUCUUCUUAGCUUCCUUCUCCUCCUUUGUUCUCUUUUUCUUCUUUUCCUUUUCCUUUCCUUCCCUUUCUUUCUUCUUCUCCUUCUUGUCUUCUAGAGAGAGAAAGAGAGGAGAGAGUGUGAGAGGGUGUGAGGAAAUGAGAGAAGGCCCUCAUAACCCCCUCAACAUAACCCAUAUAUUGCAUAAAUGCAAAUAAGCCCCUCAGCUUUUAUUCUGUUACACUGCCCAGACUGGGCGCUUCUCGCGCUCGGGGACCAGUCUCCCCGACAAGGGACCGGUCCCAGAGAGCUCUCCCUGAAGCUGGCAAAGCUCCAGCUUGAUGCAACCGGUCUCUCUCUGGGGGACCGGUCUCUCGGGGACCGGUCUCUCCCCGCAGGGACCGGUUCCCAAGAGCAGGUUUUCUGGGACUUCGCCAAACUUUUCCUUUUCUCACCUUUCACGCGUACGGGGACCGGUCUCUCCUUCAGAGACCGGGGACCGGUCUCUCCUUCAGAGACCGGUCCCCGAGAGCUGAAAACCUGCAGAAUGCAGAUUUUUGACUUUUAAGCUCUCGAAGACCUCCCAUAACGCACUUUUGAUCAUCUUAACACCUUCGGACUUUCCGAAGUGUACCAUCCUCACACCUUGGUCAAUUUGACUAAAGUUCGAUAUUUAUUUUCCGAACUUUCGGUAUAUUUCAGUAGCCUUGCUCGGCAUAUUAAUAUACAUUAGGUGCAUAUAAUUAUUUCCCCUUUUUUCAAUUAAUUUUACCAACAUAAACACACCUUCAUCUUUUCAACAAUUUAAAAUAGGGUUAAUUGCAUACACGUCCCUGCAAACAUGGUGAAUUGCAGAUAUAUCCCUGCAAAACUAAAUUUUCAUAAGUUGUCCCUGCAAAAGUCCUAAUAUAUGCAGAUAUGUCCCUGCUGUUAGGGUCUGUUAAAAAAUUUCGUUAACCACAGUUAAAAACUUAAUCAUGGUUAAUUAAUAAUGUGAAUUGACGGUUUUACCCUUCUUCCUCUUCCUCCUCUUCCUCUUCCCUCUUUUUCGACGCCGGCGAGGAAGGAGAUGCGGCGGUGAACCCUCUCCCUCUCCCUCUUUCUCUCCCUCUUUCUCUUCUCCCUUCUUCUUCCUUCCCUCUUCCUCUUCCAUCUUCUUCGUCGCCGGCGAGGAAGGAGAUGCGGCGGCGGCGGCGAACCCUCUCCCUCUUCCCUCUUCCCCUCCCUCCUCAUUCCCUUCUUCCUCUUCUCUCUUCUUCUUCCUCCCCUUCUUCCUCUUCCCUCUUCUUCUUCCUCCCCUUUUUCCUCUUCCCUCUUCUUCUUUCUCUUCUUCUUUCUCUUCCAUCUUAUUCGUUGCCGGGGAACCCGACCCCGAUCUUGCCGAAGCGCCGCCGCCGCCGUCCGCUCCGACGGCCCGAAGAGGGAGAGAAAGAGAAAGAGGAAAUACUUUUGGAGGGACAUAUUUGUGAGGGCAAAAAUAUUAUUUCACAAAUCCACUGUUAAAAAAUAAACAGUUCACUAAUGGAUGUUAACCAGAGGGACAUAUCUGCAUACAUUAGGACUUUUGCAGGGACAAUGUAACAUAUCGCAUCCCCGUAGAACGUGCCAAGUUCCGUCGAAAUGAGCGGAACGCGGAGUCGGAUGAGUUACAAUGGGUUCUAAGUGCAUUAGGACCUUAGUAUAGAGUAAAGGGACCUAAGAGAGCAAAAUUGUGAAAAUCUGGCUAAGUCCCAGAUUUUGAGCUCUCGGGUCCGGUCCUUGCGGGGAGAGACCAGUCCCCGUAGGUUGGAAAAUUGCCCAGCGGCUAAGUUCUGAAAAUCGUGCCCUCAGGAACCAGUCCCUGGAGGAGAGACCGGUCGCCGUGCGCGUAGCCAGCCAAAAAGAGUGAAAAUUUAGCUAAGUCCUGAGAGGUGUGCUCUCGGGAACCGGUCCCUACGGGGAGAGACCGGUCCCCGUAUGCGAAUUCUGCCCAGGAUGGGCUGUUGUGAAAAAUGGAAUUGAGAGGGGUUUAAGUGCAAAUCUGCCAUGUGUAGGUGUAUAGAAGUGAAUGGUAUUGAAUGAGAGCUCAUUUGCUCUCAUGCCAAUACCUAGGGCAACCCUCUCUAUCUCUAAAAACCUCUCUUCUCUCUCUCCUUCUCUCUAGAGCUUGGACCAAGGAGGCUUUUUGGAGGGAUCUAGGUAGAGAAGAAGAAGAAGUAGAAGGUGUAGCUUGCAAGAGUGCAAGUGUACAAGGAAGGCUUGGACUCCAAGGUGAGUUUCUAAGGUUUUGAGUUAGUGUUUGAGUAAUAGCUUCUUGUAUGAGUAUCUAGGAGCUUCUAUGGUGAUUUCCCCCAUGUUAUUCCUGUAAAAGGACUAGUUUUGGGGAAGAUGACAUUGUUGAGGGACCUAAGGUUAGGGUUUUGGAAUUUUGAGGUUCAAUCUUGGGAUUGAUCUCUUUUUAACCUAAUUGGUAGGUCAACGAACGCGUUGGUGCGCUCAGUUCGGCGAAACGACGAGCGUGCGCGGAGAUAUUGCGAAAAGAAGCUAAAUUGGUACAGAUUGCCGCAGCUUGCGGCGUAGAAGUCUAAAAAUCGUGAAAAUUGGAUUGCGGCAUCUUAGCAUCACCAAGAGGUGGGGGGUGCUAUCCAGAAACACCGAAUUUCCUUCUAUGUCUAUAUUAUCAUUAUUGAAUAUAUUGAUGUUAGCAUUCAUGCAUAUAGGGUAGUGUGAUGAAUAUGAUUGGUUGAGAUUCAAUUGUAUGCUAGAGAACAUAUGAAUUGAUGUAGAACCAUAUGAACUAAGAAUGUGAAAAAUCCUAUGUGUAUGUGAAUGUAUGAAAAUGAGACUAUGACAAUAGUAAACAAUGGUGAUAUUGACAUUAGUGACGAGAUUGGCACUGAGCAUAAGAACGGCUAAACAAGGUUUAACCUAGAAUGGCAUCAGGACCAUUGUGGCUCAGAUAUAGUGGGAAUGUGAUAUGGUAAUGACCUAUCCUUGGCAUUGAGGCUUUGUGCAUUGAGACAGGUUUGGCAAUACUUCCUCAAUUUGAGGAUUGGAUCGUACUCACACUGGCUUUGGCUUAAGGGAGGUAGCUCCCCCUCAAGCGGUGUACUCCUGAGUGUAUACACCACGGGGAGAGGCCUCGUCAUUGUUCCCUCGGGUAGUAGUGCUAGUAGCCUCCCCCGGUAGAUGGGAAUUGUGGUUCGUGAGUUUGGGGUGAACCAUGUGUACCCCGGGAUGAUUGGGUAAAGGCCAAAGAAAAUGAGAACAAGGACAUGCAUGCAUAAUAUUAUGAAUACGAAUAUCUAUCUGUGGAUUGUUUUCUUGCAGGCAUUGUAUUAGAAGUGUAUUAGUUGGUUUGUUAUCUUCCUUUAUUGAAAUACAUAUGCCUCAAUAGACCCAAUGGGCGAGUCGGCGCGGUCGGCGGCCGAACCCACUGGGAACUUCUUUUAGUUCUCACACCACCACUAACCCUGCAGAUCCAUGCGCAAGCGGGACGGCGGAGGAUCGAGGCAAGGGAUUAGCGGCGUAGUUAGCGGCCCACAGAGUUAUAGGCAUACCCUAUGCUGGAGUAUUCAACUUUUGUAUGUUGAACUAAGAAAUGCAAAGAGAUGUAAAUCAUAUUUUGGUUGAUAGACAAUGUGAUGUAAAUGUGAAUGAAUGAGAAUGAAUGUAAAUGUAAUAGAUUACUUGUGUUUGAUUAAAAUGUAAUCAAAUGACAUGUAUGUGGGUAAAUGUUUAGUUUAGUAUCGAUGCUUUCACGUGAGAUGGUUGUUGUUUGCCCUCGUGUAAACGUUAUAUAAUUGCAUUCAUUUGUGUUGAAUUGCUUGUAUUAUACAUGUUGUUGGAGCCUUAGGCGGACAGGGGAGGUGCAGUCCGUUCGGCGUCUGUUCGCGUGCCCGAACCGACCAAAUUGACGGCUCCGGGGCAUGACAGACAACUUAUGGAAAUUGUAUUUUGCAGGGAUAUAUCUGCAAUUCACUAUGUUUGCACCGACGUGUAUGCAAUUAACCCUUUAAAUAAGUCAUUAAAGUUUAACAUUUUAGUUAAAAAAAGUUUAUACAAUAGCUACUAAAACUAUUAAAUUUGAUUAAACUAUUAAAUAAAAUUGUUAGAAUAGAAAAAGUUAAAAAAUAUCUAUAAAAUAUAUGAAUUCUCAAUGCAGUUGGGUCACAUCUAACAAAAACAGAUAGUGACGUCAUCAAUUAAACAAUAAACUAAUGAGAACUUGCCAAUUGUCCGAUGAAAAUUUGGAUGUACCCAUUAACCAACUUUAAAAAUUAUAAAAUAUAUGAAUUCUCAGUGCAGUUGGGUAACAUCCAACAAAAACAGAUAGUGACAUCAUCAAUUAAACAAUAAACUAAUGAAAACUUGCCAAUUGUCCAAUGAAAAUUUGGAUGUACCCACAAACCAACUUUAAAAUACACAUAAAAGAUAAAUUUAUAUUAUUCAAUAAAAUUUUAUAUUGUAUAUUUUAUAUUAUAUUAUAUUUUAUAAUAUUAAUUAUUAAAUAUUUUAUCAAUCAUUUAAUACACCAUGUAGUAUAUGAAGCAUUAGUAUGGGAUAUUAUAUUAAUAUACGUUAGGUGCAUAUAAUAGUUUCGUAUUUUUUCAAUUAAUUUUACCAAGAUAAACACACCUUCAUCUUUUCAAUAAUUUAAAAUAUGUCAUUAAAGAUUAACAUUUUAGUUAAAAAAAGUUUAUACAAUAGCUACUAAAACUAUUAAAUUUGAUUAAACUAUUAAAUAAAAUUGUUAGAAUAGAAAAAGUUAAAAAAUAUCUAUAAAAUAUAUGAAUUCUCAAUGCAGUUGGGUCACAUCUAACAAAAACAGAUAGUGACGUCAUCAAUUAAACAAUAAACUAAUGAGAACUUGCCAAUUGUCCGAUGAAAANAAAAUAUUAUAUAUUCGUCACGGGAUUCUCCAUUAGUAGAAUGGUUGGGGUUGGGGCCACUUUUUUUCUUUUUCCUUUUUUUUUUUUUUCUCGGCUUUCCAUCCAAUUCGUUUAUCUCACAUGUUCCACUGAUUUGUGUAGGGGGGAUAAUUUCUAUCCAAACGAAUUCCCCUCUCUUAUUAUAAAAAUUUUAAAAGUAUUUAAUUUUUUUACACAUAAUAUUUUAUAUAGGUUAGAUUGGUUAUAUUAAAUAUAAAUUUUGAUUUAUAAUAUUAAUCGCUUAAAAAUAGGUUGUACAACAAAAAUAAAAAAAGAGAGAUAGAUUGACGGAGUUUAAUUAAGUUAAUUAUUUAUACUAAUAUAUUAAUUUAUAGUUGUGAGAACUGUAUAAAGUAUACUAACUAAAUCUAUAUAGAUAAACGAUACAUUCAAAUUUCAAAGUCAAAAUAUUAUUGACUGGCUCAAAUCAAAUAAAUUGAAAGUUUGGAUCGUAAAAAUAAAAUUUGAAAGAUUAGAUAGAUGAUUCAAAUUGGUCUAUAAUUUAGGAAAGUUUUACAUGUUUUUAUUUUGAUUUUAAUAACAAACCGUAACGUCAUAUUUAUAGUUGAUGAGCGAUCAACCUCACACUUAGAAUUUUUAGAAAUAUCCAAAAUAUUGUAAUUAGGUAUUCUAAACUUUAUUAGAUAAUUUAGUAGGUUUAUUUCUUGAAUGAAAUUACUGCUUGAACAAAAUCGAUCAAUGUUCAACUCCUUACUUCAUCUGGAAUAAAAAUAAAAAUAUAUGUAUGCUGUCUAUCUCUCAAAAAAGAAUAAAUAGUAAAAAAGUAAAUUACACUUUUUGUCACGCCCCGCGACCGCUACCAAUUUGGUCCGGCCCGGGCGCGUCGAACAGACGCCGAACGGACAGGACCUCCCCUGUCCGUCCAAGGCUAACCAACAGAUCGUGCAUAAGAAUUUACCCAGGAAUCAAUUCAUAAAUACACGAUCAAUAAGCACCACUAGUGCCAUAAACAAGAGCAAGAUACAAGUAUAGAAACAUAUACAAGUACAUAAGAGAGAAGAGACUAUCUAUUACAUUCAUUUGAUUUACUACAUUUAGAUACAUCUUUUACAUUCUUCCAAAAUAUAAAUACAAGCAAUCAACCCUCGCCCUAUACAACAUCUACUCUCAAAUACAAAAGGGGUGACGGCUAAUGCAAGAAGAGGAGGUAGCUAAUGCGACUAGAACGCCGGGCCCUUACCGCGAUCCUCACGCUCACCGGGGACACCCGAACUGGAACCUGUGGUAAAAUGGGGGUGAGAACUAACUUCCUUAGUUCCCAGUGGGUUCGGCCGCCGACUCCGCCGAUCUCCCCACUAGGUCCAAGCGGGCAUAAGUAGACAAUCGAUAGAUAGGUAGAUAGAUAAGGAAAGCUGUAAAUGGCGGAAAUGAAGCUACGCUACCAUGCCCAAUCAUAAGUAUAUGAAUGCAUGUCCAAUGAAAUAGGUAAGCAACUAAUCUGUUAUCAUGUCCAAGGGUGAAGCUAUUCACUCGUUCAUUAACCUCAUUUACUUGUUCAUUAAUCUCAUGGCUUACCCGAAGGCUCGCCUACAGCUCACUAGCCAUCUCGACACGUAGGGAGAAUUAACUCACACUACGGACCCGAGACCGUCUGGCGGGGCCAAAUAGGCAAUCCCUGGCGUGACCAACAUCCGGAGCGCACUACUUGUGUGGGGCUUCCAUCACAAGAUUUAACAGACCGUGAGCAUGAUCCAAUCCUCUAAGCUCGAGGAUACCCUGUCCUCUAGAGUCACAAUCAUCAUAUAGUCCAUAGGUGUCGCAUACACUAUUAACUAGAUUGUCCGUUUGUCCGCUAUCGACUAGAUGCCACUCGUUCAUAGUUUACUAUUAACUAGAUGCCACUCGUUCAUAGUUCAUCAUUUUCUCUACAUCAUAGGAUUCACAAUCUCGACCCAAUCCUUAUCAAUCCAAUAUAUCAAUUAUCCGAUGUACGCUACGAUACCAUGAAGGAAAAACAUAAGGAAAGGCAAUGCAUACUAAUCCUAUAAUGCAAUAAUACAAGAUGCAAGAUCAAAUAUACUAAGACAUAGGAGGGAGCCCGAUUGCUUCGGGAUGGACACCACCCACCUCUUGGCGAUGCCGUGAUAGUAGAAAACUCGACGUUGGGGUUCUUGUACGCCGCUUCAACUCCUCGGGGCGAAGCGAGCCCUCGAGUACCCGAUUCGGCGAUUUCUCCGCACCCGCUCGUCGGAUCGAGAAACCGACUUCGCCGACGCGUUCCGGGACCUAGCAAUUAGGUUUGCGACCUAUUAGAUUAGAUCAAAACCCUAGAUUUACCAAAAACCCAAUUCCGUGCCCUAGGAUGGCAACGGGGAAGAAAUCCGUGGUGCGAGCUUCAAUUGCGAGCUCGAACCUUCUCCCUAGUUCCAUUAGGUCCCAUUCAAACCAUAAAAACCCCAAAACCCUAGAAACACCAUUAAAGGGUUUAGAGCUUACCCCUACACAAGGUUCCUUCAAGCUUGAGGGAGAGGGAGAGAAGAAGAUAUCUUCUUCUUCUUCUUCUUCUUAGUCUUCUCUUUCUCUUUCUUCUUCUUUCUCUUCUUCUUCUCCUUCCUCUUCUUCUUCUCCUUCUUCUCUUUCUUUUCUUUUCUUUCUUAGAGAGAGAGAGAAAAGAGGGUAAGAGAGAGAGAGAAAGCAGCUGAGAGUGAGAGAGAGGGGUCCCCCACCUCUAAUAAAGGCCAUUUUGCAUAAAAGCCCCUCAACUUUCACCCUAGUGCACUACCCUCACUGGGCAGUUUUCGCGCGGAGGGACCGGUCUCCCCGACUUGGGACCGGUCCCCGAAGGCUGCCAUUUCGAGCAGAGGGAUUUUCGCGUUCGGGAACCGGUCCUUGCCUGAGAGACCGGUCCCCGGGAGACCGGUCCUUGUCCGAGAGACCGGUUCCCGAGAGCUGCAUUCUCGGGACUUAGCCAAAUUUGGCUAAAUCUCGUCGGGCCAACGUUCGGGAACCGGUCCCUGCCCACCAGGGACCGGUCUCAUCAGAGACCUCCGCAACCCAGCCUGAUGGAACCGGUCCCUCCCUGCCAGGGACCGGUCCCCGAGAGCAUUUCUGCUCCAGUGCAGAUUUUGCACUGGUGCUCCCGCGGACCCUUCUUUAAUGCACUUUAUGCAUUAUAAUCGCCUUCGGGCUUUCCGAAGCCUACGCACUCGACGAAUAGUCGAUUCUGGUCGAAGUCUAAUCCUCGAGUUUCGAGAAUUCACUUCCUUACAUCCUUCCCACCUUAAAAGAGUUUCGUCCUCGAAACGAACUCAAUACUCCAAAACUUGAUUAGAAUUUCAAAUUCUAAAUUCAUACCUCAAUUUAGCCUUCAAACAGGCGAGGAUGAUUCGCCUUCAUCUCCUCCUCGAGCUCCCAGGUGGCUUCGCGAUCAUCAUGAUUGCUCCACCGGACUCGGACAUAAGGAAUCUCUCGACUCCUUAACUUGCGCACUUCACGAGCGGUAAUUGCCACCGGGAAUUCCUCGUAGCUCAGAUCCUCCUGAAGUUCCGGCGGCUCAUAUAGCAUUACAUGCUCGGGAUCGGGAACGUAUUUGCGAAGAUUGGAGACGUGGAAUACGUUGUGCACAUCCGCAAGCUUUGGCGGCAACGCGAGCCGAUAAGCCACCGUCCCAAUCCGCUCCAAGAUCUCAUAGGGGCCAAUGUAUCGGGGACUUAGUUUUCCCCGCACUCCAAACCGCUUUACACCCCUCAUAGGCGAGACCUUCAAGAAGACGCGGUCACCCACCGCAAACUCUAGAUCUCGCCGGCGCCUAUCCGCAUAGCUCUGUUGUCGAGAUUGCGCCGUGAGUAACCGUUUGCGAGCAAGGCGGACCUUUUCUUCCGCCUCCCGCAGCACAUCGGGGCCAAAUUCCGCGCGUUCGCCCACGUCACUCCAAUAAAUAGGAGAGCGGCACUUCCGCCCAUAAAGAGCUUCGAACGGUGCCAUCUCCACACUAGCGUGAUAACUAUUGUUGUAGGCGAACUCGGCCAUUGGCAAAUACUUACACCAGCCUCCUUUGUAGUCGAUGACACACGCUCGCAACAUAUCCUCCAGAGUCUGAAUGGUUCUUUCAGUUUGUCCGUCUGUCUGGGGAUGGAAUGCAGUACUGAAAUCGAGCCGUGUGCCAAGGGCCUCCUGCAGGCUUUUCCAGAAAUGUGAAGUAAACUUGGGGUCUCUAUCCGACACAAUCGAUUUCGGCACCCCGUGUAAUCUCACUACCUCAUCAAGAUAUACCUGCGCCAACUUAUCUCCCGCCCAGGUGGUGUGGAUCGGCAAAAAGUGUGCUGACUUGGUCAAGCGGUCCACGAUCACCCAGAUUGCGUCGUGUCCUCCUGUCGAGCGAGGUAAGCCAACGACGAAAUCCAUAGAUAUGUCUUCCCAUUUCCAAACGGGAAUAGGUAAGCUUUGAAGCUUCCCCGUUGGAAACCGGCGCUCCGCCUUUACUUGCUGACAAGUCAAGCACUUCGCCACGAAGCGCCCAAUAUCAGCCUUCAUCCCCGGCCACCAAUAGAGUGCCCUCAACUCAUGAUACAUUUUGGUGCCGCCCGGGUGAUCCGCAUAUGGAGAUCGGUGAGCUUCUUGCAGGAUCAACUCGCGAAGUUCUUCAUUUUCCGGCACGCACCACCGGUUUCGAAACCGGAGCGCACCACCGGCGUCCACACUGAAAUCGCCAUCUCGUCCUUCCUCGAUAUUGCGCCGCACCUUUUGGAGACUCGGAUCUGCAGGUUGCAAAUUUCUGAUCCUCUCCAAUAAGGUCGGUUGGAUAACGAGCGCCAUCAGCUGGGCCGGGACCUCGGGAGCGACCACUUCAAGGUCCAGCCGCUCCAUCUCCAGCCCUAGGGGUGUUUGCCGGGUAACAUCAAAGGCGAGGUUCUUCGCCGACUUCCUACUAAGUGCGUCUGCGACCACAUUUGCCUUGCCGGGGUGGUAGAGAAUGUCGACAUCAUAAUCUUUUAAUAGCUCUAGCCACCGCCUCUGUCGCAUAUUCAGCUCCUUCUGGGUAAACAGGUACUUCAGACUUUUGUGGUCGGUGUAGAUCUCGCAGUGUGCACCGUAUAGGUAGUGCCUCCACAACUUCAGCGCAAAGAUCACCGCCGCCAACUCCAAGUCAUGGAUGGGGUAAUUCUUCUCGUGGUCCUUCAGCUGACGGGAUGCAUAAGCUAUCACCCUCCCGCCUUGCAUCAGGACACACCCCAAGCCCAGAUAGGAUGCGUCGCUAUAAACCACAAAGUCCUCGCCCUGCACCGGUAAGGCGAGUAUUGGAGCCGACGUCAAUCUUUUCUUCAACUCGUUGAAGCUUCGAUCACACUCGUCGCUCCAAAUGAACUUGACGCCCUUCUGAGUCAAACCGGUAAGUGGAGUUACAAUCUUCGAAAAGCCUUCCACGAACCGUCGAUAAUAGCCCGCUAAGCCCACAAAGCUUCGGACCUCCGUGACAUUCGUCGGGCGUGGCCAAUUCUCGACCGCUUCGACUUUCCUCGGGUCAACCGAAACACCACCCUCGGAAAUUACAUGCCCUAAGAAGGCAACUUCUCGAAGCCAGAAAUCACAUUUCUUUAGCUUUGCGAAUAGCUUCUCCUCCCGAAGGAUUUGAAGCACCGUCCGCAAAUGCUCCGCGUGCUCCUCGUCGUUCCGCGAAUAGACCAAGAUGUCGUCUAUGAAGACCACGACGAAUCUAUCCAGGCACGCCUUGAACACACGGUUCAUCAGGUCCAUGAAUGCAGCCGGGGCAUUAGUGAGCCCGAAAGGCAUAACCGUGUAUUCAUAGUGUCCAUAACGCGUACGAAACGCGGUCUUCUGAAUAUCCUCCGGCUUGAUCUUUAACUGAUGAUAGCCGGACUGUAGAUCUAUCUUCGAGUACACUCGUGACCCUUGUAAUUGGUCGAACAAGUCAUCAAUUCGGGGUAACGGGUACUUAUUCUUAAUUGUGACCUUAUUCAACUCUCGAUAAUCCACGCAGAGUCGAAACGAGCCAUCCUUCUUGCGCACGAACAACACCGGCGCUCCCCACGGCGAUACACUCGGCCUGAUAAACCCUUUGUCGAGAAGAUCUUGUAACUGAUCCCUCAAUUCUCUUAACUCUGCCGGCGCCAUGCGGUAUGGGGCCUUUGAGAUCGGCGCCGUCCCGGGAAUCAAGUCUAUAACGAACUCGAUCUCCCGAUCCGGCGGCAUCCCCGAUAACUCCGUGGGAAACACAUCCGGAAAUUCCCGCACCACCGAUAAAUCUUCUAAUUUCGGCACCACCCGGUCCACCUCCACGACGGUCGCCAAAAAUGCCGCGCAACCGCCGCUGACCAACUUCCUAGCUCUCGUCGCCGAUACUGUCGCGACGAAGCAAGAACUCCGACAAGCUUGAUAAACGAACUCCUUCUGUCCGGGCUCCCGAAAAGUGAUCAAUUUAUUCUUACAAUCGAUCGUGGCGUAAUACUUCGAGAGCCAAUCCAUACCUAAAAUAACGUCGUACGCCUCCAGUUUAGUGAGUUCCAACAUCCGAAUGGGCAUUAUCCAAUCACCCACUUGCACCGGACACGACGAGCACUCCGUAUAGGUGUUAAAUGAUAACUCGGGACCCUCGACUCGCCACUUGCCACUUGCUUCUAUGGGUAUGUCAUGCAUGCGUGCAAAUGCUCUACUAAUAAAUGAAUGCGUGGCACCCGUAUCGAACAUAGCUCUGGAGCGAACUCCAUUGAUUAGAACCAUACCUGCCACAACAUCAGGCUCCUCGGCUAGGGCAGGCUCCUCGGCUUGGGCCUGAGCGGCGAAUACCCGUCCGCUCGGCGCUGAUCGAGUCACCUCCGGCUGGCGCGGCGCCAAUGCGCGUCCUGCUGACACGGGAACAUAGGGGGCCCCUCCCUGAUAAGGCGGGGGCGCUGGAGCCGAUGCGACCGACGGAGUAGACGAGGCCCUUGCCGGACAGUCACGGCUAAUAUGUCCUUCUUGUCCGCAGUUAAAGCACCGUCCUUGUCGUUGACUACACUGCGGUGCCCGAUGGCCUCGAUCUCCACAAAUAGGGCAACGCCGCGGCCCACGGCCCCACGACUGCGACCGCGGAUGCUUCGGGGGCCUCCUCGAACUCGACUGUCCACCCGAACCGCCGCCCGAUCGCUUCUUCCCCUUGUCUUGGGAUCCGGCCAACAACUCACGCUCCUCCCGCACAUGGGCAUCUCCAUGCUCUGCCCACAGCGCCUUGUUGAAGACCUCGGCGAAAGUUGUGAGCUGGAAUAGCUGCACCGCUCUAUAUAUCCAUGGCCGAAGUCCUCGCAAGAACCACUCGGCUCGAUCCGCGUCGUCCUUGACCACGUCCGGGACGCAGUCUAUAAUGUGGGAGAACUCCUGCUCGUAGUCCGCCACCGAGCGAUCUCCCUGCCUCAACUUGCGAAACCUCUCCUUCAACUUCCGCUUCUCGGUGUCGGGGAAGUAGUUUCCGAACAUCUCCUUCUUGAACUCCUCCCAGAGCAUUGGCGGAAGAUCAGAGGGUCGAUCCCGCUUCAACCGCUUCCACCACACCUUCGCCGCCUUGUCGAGGCAAUGGGUGGCGAAAGGCACCUUAUCUUUCUCCGAGGUAUAUAGGUCCUCGAAGAGAGUCUCCAUAGAGUCUACCCAAGACUCUACCACCGACGGCUCCACUUUCCCCCCUUCAAAAGUUGGUGGCUUAAACUUCAUAAACCUCAUUAAAGCCGUUAGCGCACGCUCCCGCUCCACUUCAUCGGCCGUCGUAUCAAGCGUCGCCGAACCCGAAGCUGUCGGAGGCGCACUUGUCGGCGGGGGAACCGCCGCCAUCGGAACCGCCGCUAUGCCCUCACCCUCGGCCGCUACCGGCGUGCGUGCCGAAGGUGCGGGCGGAUCGCGAUCUCCUGCCGCCGUCGCGGCCGCCGCCGCUGCCGCUUGCCGCUCCACAACUUCCUGGAGCUGCUCGAACCGAGCCUCCUGGCGCUGCAUCGCGCCCAACAUUGCAGCGACCUGCUCCCGCAGCUCCUGCACCUCCUCCGAUCUUGGCUGCUCGGGCUCCGCAGAAGGCGGUACCGGAGCAGACCUACGCGCAUAACGCCUUGGGGACAUUGCUCCUGAAAAGCAACAACUCGGUUAGUUAUCUCAAUCCGAUAACUUCCUCAACGUUCACAAAACUAAACGACUCAACAAUAAAAUCGGGCGGAAGCUCGCAAGUGCUCUAGUGUUGGACUCUUAGCGUUGCGUCGUCGGCCGCCGACACAACCACUACAAGCCAAGAACUAGUGUCACUUGUAUCCGUCUCUAUUCACAGCUAGAGAUGUGCCAUCAACUUCGACCCAAUCAAUCAACUUCCGCCACCGCCAUGGGUUCACGUUCACUCACGUCCCUAUAACCUUAGGGUUCACCAACCUAGGGUCUCCUAGGUCAUCCUAGACUCUCUCUUUACUUGCUCUUAAGUGCUCUGAUACCACUUUAUCUGUCACGCCCCGCGACCGCUACCAAUUUGGUCCGGCCCGGGCGCGUCGAACAGACGCCGAACGGACAGGACCUCCCCUGUCCGUCCAAGGCUAACCAACAGAUCGUGCAUAAGAAUUUACCCAGGAAUCAAUUCAUAAAUACACGAUCAAUAAGCACCACUAGUGCUAUAAACAAGAGCAAGAUACAAGUAUAGAAACAUAUACAAGUACAUAAGAGAGAAGAGACUAUCUAUUACAUUCAUUUGAUUUACUACAUUUAGAUACAUCUUUUACAUUCUUCCAAAAUAUAAAUACAAGCAAUCAACCCUCACCCUAUACAACAUCUACUCUCAAAUACAAAAGGGGUGACGGCUAAUGCAAGAAGAGGAGGUAGCUAAUGCGACUAGAACGCCGGGCCCUUACCGCGAUCCUCACGCUCACCGGGGACGCCCGAACUGGAACCUGUGGUAAAAUGGGGGUGAGAACUAACUUCCUUAGUUCCCAGUGGGUUCGGCCGCCGACUCCGCCGAUCUCCCCACUAGGUCCAAGCGGGCAUAAGUAGACAAUCGAUAGAUAGGUAGAUAGAUAAGGAAAGCUGUAAAUGGCGGAAAUGAAGCUACGCUACCAUGCCCAAUCAUAAGUAUAUGAAUGCAUGUCCAAUGAAAUAGGUAAGCAACUAAUCUGUUAUCAUGUCCAAGGGUGAAGCUAUUCACUCGUUCAUUAACCUCAUUUACUUGUUCAUUAAUCUCAUGGCUUACCCGAAGGCUCGCCUACAGCUCACUAGCCAUCUCGACACGUAGGGAGAAUUAACUCACACUACGGACCCGAGACCGUCUGGCGGGGCCAUAUAGGCAAUCCCUGGCGUGACCAACAUCCGGAGCGCACUACUUGUGUGGGGCUUCCAUCACAAGAUUUAACAGACCGUGAGCAUGAUCCAAUCCUCUAAGCUCGAGGAUACCCUGUCCUCUAGAGUCACAAUCAUCAUAUAGUCCAUAGGUGUCGCAUACACUAUUAACUAGAUUGUCCGUUUGUCCGCUAUCGACUAGAUGCCACUCGUUCAUAGUUUACUAUUAACUAGAUGCCACUCGUUCAUAGUUCAUCAUUUUCUCUACAUCAUAGGAUUCACAAUCUCGACCCAAUCCUUAUCAAUCCAAUAUAUCAAUUAUCCGAUGUACGCUACGAUACCAUGAAGGAAAAACAUAAGGAAAGGCAAUGCAUACUAAUCCUAUAAUGCAAUAAUACAAGAUGCAAGAUCAAAUAUACUAAGACAUAGGAGGGAGCCCGAUUGCUUCGGGAUGGACACCACCCACCUCUUGGCGAUGCCGUGAUAGUAGAAAACUCGACGUUGGGGUUCUUGUACGCCGCUUCAACUCCUCGGGGCGAAGCGAGCCCUCGAGUACCCGAUUCGGCGAUUUCUCCGCACCCGCUCGUCGGAUCGAGAAACCGACUUCGCCGACGCGUUCCGGGACCUAGCAAUUAGGUUUGCGACCUAUUAGAUUAGAUCAAAACCCUAGAUUUACCAAAAACCCAAUUCCGUGCCCUAGGAUGGCAACGGGGAAGAAAUCCGUGGUGCGAGCUUCAAUUGCGAGCUCGAACCUUCUCCCUAGUUCCAUUAGGUCCCAUUCAAACCAUAAAAACCCCAAAACCCUAGAAACACCAUUAAAGGGUUUAGAGCUUACCCCUACACAAGGUUCCUUCAAGCUUGAGGGAGAGGGAGAGAAGAAGAUAUCUUCUUCUUCUUCUUCUUCUUAGUCUUCUCUUUCUCUUUCUUCUUCUUUCUCUUCUUCUUCUCCUUCCUCUUCUUCUUCUCCUUCUUCUCUUUCUUUUCUUUUCUUUCUUAGAGAGAGAGAGAAAAGAGGGUAAGAGAGAGAGAGAAAGCAGCUGAGAGUGAGAGAGAGGGGUCCCCCACCUCUAAUAAAGGCCAUUUUGCAUAAAAGCCCCUCAACUUUCACCCUAGUGCACUACCCUCACUGGGCAGUUUUCGCGCGGAGGGACCGGUCUCCCCGACUUGGGACCGGUCCCCGAAGGCUGCCAUUUCGAGCAGAGGGAUUUUCGCGUUCGGGAACCGGUCCUUGCCUGAGAGACCGGUCCCCGGGAGACCGGUCCUUGUCCGAGAGACCGGUUCCCGAGAGCUGCAUUCUCGGGACUUAGCCAAAUUUGGCUAAGUCUCGCCAGGCCAACGUUCGGGAACCGGUCCCUGCCAAUCAGGGACCGGUCUCAUCAGAGACCUCCGCAACCCAGCCUGAUGGAACCGGUCCCUCCCUGCUAGGGACCGGUCCCCGAGAGCAUUUCUGCUCCAGUGCAGAUUUUGCACUGGUGCUCCCGCGGACCCUUCUUUAAUGCACUUUAUGCAUUAUAAUCGCCUUCGGACUUUCCGAAGCCUACACCCUCGACGAAUAGUCGAUUCUAAUCGAGGUCUAAUCCUCGAGUUUCGAGAAUUCACUUCCUUACACUUUUAGCCCUCAAAUUAACUAUGACAUCCUUGACACUUUAGUUCUCGAACUCAUAGUUAGUUAAUUCCUGAACUAUUCACGAAUUAUUCGCAAAUUAUUGAAAAUCCGAAUAAAACGAUUUGUAUGCGAUUUAUUCCCCAAAAUUCAAAAUAAAAUGCGAAUUUUUGUGUUAGAUUUAUUAUUUGCGAAUAAAUCGCGUAUGCCGAACUAUUCGGCCAAAAAAAGCGCAAAAUCUCUUUCCGAAUUUUGCCGAAUUAUUUGCGAAUUAUUAAAAGACUUCAUAAACUUCUAGAAUAUGUGGAUCAUGAAAAAGAUAAAGAUGGAGAUGACAAUAAAAUUUGCUAUUAUUUUUUUUUUCACUUAAUCUACUUUAUUUUGUUAAUCUCUAUUUUUAUAUUCUUAAGAAUUUAUAACUAUAUAUGCUAGUAGCAUAAAUUUAGAGAAAAAAACUUAAUUUAAUAGCCGAAUUUUUGAUCCCGAAUUUUUAAUUGGUGAACGUAUAAUUUCAUAUAAAUUGCAUAUUCGAAUAAUUGGCGAAUUCGUUUUUUAAGCAAUAUUUUUCAAAGAAUUUAGAGAUUGAAGAAAUAUGAAUUUUGUUUAAACUAUAUCCAUAUCGAAUUUUUGCCGUGUAAGGACUGAGAAUUUGGCAGUGCAAUUAGACUCUUUGUUGACGAUGUUUUUGUGUGUAAUUUAAUUACAUAAGCACUCGUCAAGUUUCAGGAGAAAAUGAGUUAGAAUGGAGAAGUUACGCGACCUUUACUAAUCACUUAAAGUGAAUAGUAACUUCGAUUUUCGAAAAGGCCUGGGGCCUUGGACAACCAGUCCAGAGGUCACCCGCUGCCCGCACACGCUACCCACAGCAACCACGAAACGUAAAUUUGCACAUAAGCCCUUGCAACUAUAUAAAAUCACAUCAUUUUAUGUGAUUUUCAGAUUUUUACGGCCCGACAGUAAACCGAGGACAUUCGAGCCUGGCCGAGACACCUACUGAUAGGUCUCGACAUGCCGGAGGCCGUGCUCAUGAUUCGGAGCAUGGCCGACCACUUUGGAGAGCGCGGGAGCGACUCGAAGUUCAGCGAACACUGCACGCUGAAACUAAAACACGUCCAAUUCCCCAAUCUCGGGCUCGUUUGUGAGGACUAAGAUUUGUGCUAUGCAGAUAAACCCUUCGUUGAUGAUAUUUUUGUGUGUAAUUUAAUUACAUAAGCACUCGUCAAGUUUCUGAAGAAAACGAGUUAGGAUGGAGAAGUUAUGCGACAUGUACUAAUUACUUAAAGUGCAUAGUAACUCCGAUUUUUCGGAGAGGCCAAUUAGUAGAGAUGGCUUUUGAUGCGUAUUGGCACUACAAGAAUAUUAUAUAUUAGUGGCGAGUAAUGUCGCCACCAUAUAUAUAUAAGUUGCCACCUUUUUAAAAGGUGGCGAUUUUUAAAGUCGCCACAAGCUGCCACCGAAAGUGUUGCCGCUAAAUGAAAUUGUGGCGACGCAUGAAAAAUCGCCACCUUUUUUAAAAUAGCGUGGCGACAUUUUAUCGCCACGAAAUAUGACUUUUAGUGGCCAUUGCUAGCCGCCACCUUAUUAAANCCACCUUAUUAAAGAUAGAGUGGCGACAUAUUGUCGCCAUCAAAUAUGACUUUUUAGUGGCCCUUCUUAGUCGUCAUUUUUUAUGGAGAUAAGAUGGCAAUACAUUUUCGCCACCAAAUAUUACCUUAAGUGGCAACCAUCACAGUCGCCACCUUAAUUAAAAAUAAAAAUGCAACUUUUUGUCGCCACCAACUGUGCAAUAAAUGACCACCAAUAAUAAAAAGGUAAUAAACUAAAUAUAAAAAUAUACAGCUCAUAUUUUAUAAACAGAACAUAUACAAAAUAACAAACAAAAUAUUAAAGUAAACAAAGUUAUUAUUUUAACAACAAUUUAAAAGGCUAAUUGACUUCUAAUUCACAACAGCUUAAAAACAAAAUAAUAGCAAAGUCAAUUUAAAGGUAAUAGAGUAAUAAUAUUCGAUAUACAAUUCAACAUCAUUCCUAACUCUCUCAACUUUAAAAAUAGAAAAUAUUUAAAAACGAUAAAAAAAAAAUGCUUCAGCUCCUAUUUCAACAGCAAUUCAUUUCCUGCAACAAAUAAAAGAAAUAAAAGAAAAGUAUAUACAUUAAACAAUCUACAACAAGUUAGAAUAUUUUUUGCAUAGUUGGAUACACAAACAAUUUGUCUUUUUGAAUUUUUGAUUUAAUGAAUUAUUAACAAAAUAGACAAUUGUCAAAACUAUGUACAUGCAUGUUCUACUCUCAUUAAGGGAAAAAAAAAAAACAGACAUGGAAGAGAAGUAGAAAAAGGGGGAAUAGAUCAUAGGUGCCAGCAAAUCAAUUUAGCAACAGUUCAUGUUGUUAUCAUGCCCAAAUUCAACAUAAACAAGUAUUAUGCCAAUUCGAUCAUUAUUAGAUAAUGUGUGCUUGUCUCUCUGCAUUUAAAUACAUAUGCAUACAAACAUAAAUAAAUACGGCCAUUACACAUAACCACCAAUUUACACACAUGCAUUGAUGCAAAAAUGCGCAUGGAUUAAAGGCAUGCACAGAAACAAGCAUGCUUCUACGAAUAUGUUCCCGUGGAGAACUAGAUCGUAUAUUAGAACAUAUAUUAUAUCUGUCAUGUGACAUUCAUGCAUUAAGAAAAAAUUUACAAAGCAUACAAAGAGAAUCCACAAUAAAAUUGGCAUGGCAGAACAAUUCUCCAAGCUAGUAAGACAAACACGGUUAAGGCAUACAUGAGUAGGAAAUUCCCGACCAAGAAGUAUGUGUACAAUACAGAAUGAGUAGUACAUUCAAAACUGGAAAGUAUAAAAAAAAUAUUGAAAAUCAUCAAAAACAAAGAAGGUCAAAAUUGCAUUUUUCAAUGUCCCAUUAGAAUUGCAGCAACAAAUCAUACCUAUCAAUCACAUCUUUUGUGCAAGAACAGUUAGAUUGUUCUUCUGGUUGACGGGUUGGCCGCGGAUUUGCACUGUAGGCGGCCUAGCAUUACCCAUGGCCGGUUGGCUCGCCAUCCUGAAAUUAGCAUCAGGUAGUUUUGGACAGUUAAUAGUGGAACAAAUUAUUAGCAUAUUGAUUUGGCAAAAAACAAGGGGUACAAUGUAUGGAUUGCUCCUCUAGUAUCUCGAUAUAGCAAUUUGUACCCUGAACUUCAACAUAUAUCAUUCAAGUCCUGACCGCAUGAAAAUCUAAUUUUUCUUAUUUCCCCUUAUAGACACUAUAUUAUCCCAUUUCCUAUAUAAUGACGACUAACUUAUUUUAGUUUACUUUAAACAGGGUCAAAAGGUCAGCUUAUGAAAUGACUAUGCACAAAUUUAUUUUAGUUCAAGGACUCUAUGAGAAGUCCAAAUGCUGGAAUACUACAUGUGGAUUCAUCUCCAAAUAUAGGUCAGUUGGAAGUGGGUCCCUGAACUACUCAUUUCUUCAAUUUGAACCCCUCAACUAGCGUAUUCCUUGAAACCAGAAUAACUCCAUAGAACUAAUUAAAGGACUCUGAACCAUUCUAGACAGAACUUUCGGAAACUUAAUAAAAUAUUCCAUGACCUAACCAAAUAAUCUGAAACUACUUCAAAGGGAAGUGUUAAAUUCUGAAGGUCUUCGAGGAUUUUCUCAAAUCUAACAAUGAGUUAGCUAGGCAAUUCACACCCCAAGAUUAACAAUCUAUAGUUCAAGAAUACAUCUUUGUGUAACAAUUAUGGGUAAAGUGCUCCACUACUCCCCGAACAUUCAGCCAAGUUUCAUUUUGUCCUUGCACUUUCAAUUUUGACGUUAGGGUUCCCUAAACUCUUCAAAGAGUUUCACUUUUAAUCCUCACACAUAUUUACUAUUGGAGGAUAAAUUGUUGCCUACACCCAGUGCAUUUGUACAUCUAUGCACCAUACAUUUAUUAAUUACUUUUUCCAUCGCAUAUUUCAACCCUACCAUCCACUGAUUUAUAAUUUUUCUCUAUAUAAGAAUUGGACCUCUGGAAUGAAAGUAUGAAUGGAUGAAAAACCAAUGAAUUCAUGGUGAACAAACAAAUAGAUGAACUAAGUGCUAGCGAUAAUUACUCUAAGGAUAAAUGAAACAUUGUUCAGAGUUUAGGGACUAAAUUGAAACCUCACCAACAGUUUAGGGUCUUGAAAGUCGAAAUCAAAAGUUUUGAGGACCAAAAUGAAAGUUAACUCAAAAGUUCAAGAACAGGUAAUUCAAUUUACCCUUAUAAUUAUUACACAAAUCAGGUAUUUCAGCUAGUAACUUAAUAGUGCAGCUAAACAUAGGAAUAAUUUCUACAAAAUAAAACUUGCUUAGCCGGUGCACCUAUAUAUUCUUGAUAGCAGCUGUCAUGGCCAUGAAGGCCUGUUCAACAUUAGUGGCAUUUUUUGCACUAGUCUCCAUGAAUGGAAUGCCAAUUUCAUCAGCAAAUGCCUGAAGGGGACAAAAUAAUUAAAUAAACAUCAAAAUUAAUACUCCUAACAAAGAAAAGAGAAGUAGAGACACCCUAAAUAGCAUAUAUCUCAUGCAUAAUACAAAAUCCUUUUGCAUCGCUUUCUACCAAAAUCUAAUUAAAACUAGCAGAAAAUUGAGAAUUGAACAGGCCAGCAAUGACAUUAACUGUUAAAUAUACGAAUGAAAAGCAAUUAGUUGAUUAAGAGUAGAUUUUGAUUAAGUCAAGAUAUUUCAAUAAGACCUUUCAAGAGGGAAAUUUAAAAACUAUGAAACUCUAAUUGUAGGCGGAUAAAAUGGAUUUCUAAUCAAGUUAUUUUUUCAUUUUUGCAGUUGGAGGUGGUUUCACUUUUUUAACUGAAAUACCCAAGUCUCAUUAUAUCUACAUUAGUAACUUAUAACAAGGAUUCUUGACCUUUUUGAUGUUAACGAUGUGUAGAGCAGAAAAAGGAUGAGGGAAGAAAUUGAAAUUACCUUAGCCGUCUCAUAAGACACAACUUUGUUUGUUGUAAGAUCACACUUGUUACCCACAAGAAGCUUGUUGACAUUCUCACUUGCAUAACGGUCGAUCUCAUUUAACCAUUGCUUUACAUUAUUGAAACUCUCUUGGUCUGUCACAUCAUACACAACCUGCAAUUCCAGGAUCAAUACCAUGAAAUGUUUCGUGGGGAUUCUUGAUCAGUAGGCAUAUGAUUAAAAAAGAGAUAAUGUACACAUACACCCAUGAAAAAAUCUGAAUACUUGUAUUUUCUUCAAAACUUGAUUUCUUAGAUAUAUAUUCCUUCUCUUAAAAAAGUGUACCUCUCGACUGAAAAAUGAGGUUGAGAAAUAGACUUUCAUUAAACAUGCUUAAAAGCAUUUUUUAUACCAGCCUAGCUUCUAUAUAUAUAUAUAUAUAUUAUAUAUAUUAUAUAUAUAUAUAUAUAUAUAUAUAUAAAUGGUACACGGAGGCCUCCGUGCUAUCGAUAGAUAUACAGCCUAAGCUCUAUCCUGAGCAUGGAAGCUGCAUUGUUCCUUACACACCAGCCUUGAGUAGAGGUGACAACAGAUCAAAUAAUGCUCAAUACACUUCUACAAGGCAUAGAUAUAUUAAACGGACACCACAAUUCAAUACCAUCAAUCUAAAUAUAGAUACAGAUAUAAAUGUGCAACAAAAUGCAUAUUAAAUGGUUAGGGUAUGAAUAUGAUAUGAAUUAAACACUAAACGAAUGCAGCUACAACUUGGAUAUGAAAAGGAACAUGAAUACAAAUCAAACCAGUAACUCAAUUAUAUAUCUAUAUAUAUAUAUAUAUAUAUAUAUAUAUAUAUAUAAAAGAGUUGCCAUAAGAUUUCGUAAUACUUUGGUGCAGCAUGUGAGAACAAAGAAGUACUAAUACUAUGAAACUAUAAUCAUAUCAAACAACUCAAGCUCAAUUAUGUAGAGCAGAUAUAGAAAUAAACAACAAUGUACAAAGAGACAAACAGUUGUAUACCUGAAAACUCCGCCUGUGCUCCUCGAGGAUGAUCCGGAGGAGCGAUGCGAGCCGCAAGACCAUUUUGCGGCGCCCGAGGAUGAGCGAAACGUUGAGGAACCUUACGAGGAGACGGAGCUGCUUGUGCGUGAGGGCGACCUCGGAGGCGGUGGCGGCGGCGGCGGAGGGGGCGUCGCGGAGGUACUCGCGGUCGAGGACGGCCUCGUAGAAGACGAAGGCCUCGGCGAGGUAGGAGGAGUCGCUGGUGCGGCGGUACUAGCCGUAGUAGAGCUGGGCGAUGCGGUACGCGAUCUCGCCCACCUCCCACCGCCGUAUCCCGGCCUCGGUGAGCGCCGCGCGGUGCUCCUGCUGCAUCUUCCACAGCCGCGUGUAGAUCUUGAACGCCUUGUGGGGAAGUCCCCAUCGUCCCUGAAUCGAAGAACAAGAAGAAGAAAAAGAAGAGGGAUCGAAUUAGGGUUCGGGGUGAGAGGUUUGGGGGAGGUAGGGGGUUAGGGUUUACCGAUUGCGGUCGUGGGAGGGGCGAUCGCGGACGCGGGAGAAGCGGCGAUCGGCCUUGCCGACGAGGGACCGGAACUGCUCGGUGAUGGGGAUGGCGCUGUUGUUGCUCUGCGCCAUGGACGAGGAGAGGGUGGGGAGGACGAGAGAGAGGAGGAGGAGGAGGAGGAGGAGGAUGCUAGGGUUUUUGGGUGGAGAAGGGGAAAAAAGGAAAAGAGUUGGGAGGGUGAAGAAGAAGAGGAAGAGGAAGACGAAGAUGAGGAGGAGGAGGUCGACGAGCGUGAAAGGCAUCGGGUUUCGGAUUUCGGGUAUCGGGUUUCGGGUUUCGGGUUUGAAGAAUUUGUUUAACCGCAAUGGCAUCGAUUUCGAUUGGGUUUAAUUUAAUUUAAUUAACUAAUAAUUUAAUUUAAUUUUUAAAUUUAAUAAGUUAAUUUUUAAAAUUUAAAAUUUAAAAUUUAAUUUAAUUAAUAAUUUGUAAUUUAUUUAUUUAUUUAUUUAUUUAUUUAAGUUAAAUUUAAUUAAUUUUUAAAAAAUAAAUGACAAUAAUUAAUAGGUAAACACUAAUUAAUAAAGCUCUUGAAUUUAAAAAUUCAACUAAAUUAACUAGAAUAAAAUAAUCAAAAGAAGUUCAGAGGUGUUAAUCAAAAUAAAAUUAAAAUUCAUAAAGCAAUUUCAAAAUGAUCUGAUGUUGAAAGUGUCUCUAUACAUUUUCACCCUCAAUUUUUAACAACUAUAGUUUUUUCACCUUCACUAUACAUUAUUUUGAUAUAAACGUUUUAAAUAUUUUAUUUUUAUUGUAAUUUUAUUAAUAAUAUGCGUCAAUUUUUUUUAUCAUCACUAUAGCUAACCAAAUAGUGGCAAAAAAUUAGUCAUUCAGUGGCGAAAGUAGUAUUGCCACUUAAAGUUAAUUAAUUGGUGGCUAAAUUUUUUUAUCGCCACUUAAAGUUAAUUAAUUGGUGGCAAAAUUUUUUUAUCGCCACUAUAGGUAACCAAACAAUGGCGAUAAAAUAAUCAUUUAGUGGCGAAAGUAAUAUUGCCACUUUAAAUUAAUUAAUCAGUGGCAAUAUUUUUUAUCGCCAUCAUAAAUAACAAUUUAGUGGCAACAAAAUAAUUAUUUAAUGGCGAAAGUAGUGUCACCACUUUAAGUUAAUUAAUCGGUGGCCAUUUGUUUUAUCGCCACCAUAGAUAACCAAAUAGUGGCGAUAAAAUAAUCAUUCAAUGGCGAAAGUAGCAUUGCCACUUUUAGUUAACUAAUCAGUGGCAAUUUUUUUUAUUGCCACAAUAAGUAACUAUAUAGUGGUGACAAAAUUUAUCGCCACAUUAUUUUUGCCACCAAUACUGUCGUUUCUUGUAGUGUGGACUCCGUUCAUAGUGAUCCAAUAGCUCGUUCUCGACGGUUCGACUAUCCUGGACCCAAAAAAUUGACGGAAUUAGAUUUUGAGGCACGAUUUUCGAGAAAAAGGGGGUUUAUUGGAUUUACAUAUAUAUAUAUAUGUGUGUGUGUGGGGGGGGGGGGGGGGGGGGGGGGUUUGGAAAAUUGGAGAGCGGAUGAGUUUCGUCGCAAAUCUACGACCAAAGCUGAUGAAACAAAAUUGUAGAUUUGAUGCCCCAGUCGUACUGAACGCGCUUGCGUGAUCCGAUCGGAAAUCCGAUGGACGGAUCUCCGGGAAUCGCGAGAUGUUCGCUGAGGGGUCGAAAUUGGCAAAACGAAAAAUCUGCGAAAAGCCAAAUAUUUUAUGUACCGUUUUGCGUGAUUUCGAACAUCAAGGUGCUUGUGCGCAAAAUACACGUGCCAGCAGGGACUCAGCUGAAAAUAAUUAGGUAUGGGGUUUUAUCUGCAAAAGUGCACAUGGUAUAUUAGUGGCAGCUAGGGUUUCUAUGCAUGAAACCCUAGAUCUAGCCGACCCAGCUCCCCAGCUAUGCCAUAGUCAACAUCAGCAAGUCCCUGCCCUUGCUGUGCGCGCACCCUAGCCGUCGGUGAGCGUCCCCGGCCGCCGGAAAAGCUUGGUCGGCCUCUCCUCCAUCAUCUUCUCUACCUAACCGCCACCCUUCUCGACUUUUUAUCUCGAGAAGUCGCCCACACGUGUCGGGCCUCCAUCCCUAGGCCGAGACCGACCUCCGGCACCGUUCCCGCCGGUCCCCCUCCAUCCGCGCGCGCUGCCAGUGUCUCUUGGGAGAUCCGCGGCCACCCGCAGUGUAACAUACCGAAACUCGGUAGAGAAUAUCGAACUUUGGUCAAAUUGACUAAAGUGUGCGAAAGGAAUAGUUGGACAAAGUCCAUUUAUCAUUCCAACAAUGUUGGAAUGGUUAAAGUUGAGUUCCAAGGGAGUUGGAAAGGUUUUAGCGUUGCUCAGCGCGAAUUAGAAUCGAAACAAUGCGAGAUUGAGGUUCGGGAGCAUUUGGGUGUUUCGGUGCGCGUUGGACGCGAAAACGGAACCCGAAAGGCCAUGUUGGACCAUGGAUGUGAGGAAAUGAAUUCUCGAAAUACGAGGAUUAGACUUCAUGCAGAACCAACCAAGGGUCGUGUUGGUGAGCUUUGGAGAAGCCAAAGAUAUUAAAAUCACCAAAAGUGCAUUGAAAACGAGUCCACGAGAGCAAUUGGUGCAAAAUCUGCACUGGAGCAAAACUGCUCUCGGGGACCGGUCCCUAGCAGGGAGGGACCGGUCCCAUCGGCGGAUGUUGCGGGGUUGCGUGAGGCAACCGGUCCCUGGCAGGGAGGGACCGGUUCCCGAACGUGAUCCGAGCGAGAAAGCCAGAAAUUUGGCUAAGUCCUGAAAAUAUUGCUCUCGGGGACCGGUCUCACAGGCAAGGACCGGUCUCCCGAGGACCGGUCUCUCUGGGAGAGACCGGUACCCGAACGCGUGACCCUAGCUGAAGCUCUCGGGGACCGGUCCCAAGUCGGGGAGACCGGUCCCUCCGCGCGCAGACAGCCCAGUGAGGGCAGUGUACAGAGAUGAAAGGUGAGGGGCUUUUAUGCAAAAUGGCCUUAGUUAGAGGGGUAUACAUGGGAGAUCACUCUCUCCCUCUCUCAGUUCACUCUCUCUCUCUCCCUCUCACACUCUCUUGCUCUCUCUCUCUCUAGAAAGAAAAGAGAAGAAGAAGAAGAAGAGGAAAAGAGAAGGAAAAGAAGGAAGAAAAGGAAGGAGAAGAAGAAGGAGAUCAACAAAGGGAAGCUUUUGGACCUCUCCUUCAUCCUCUCUUCUCUCUUUGAAGCUACAACAAGAGGUAGGCUUCUAACCCUAGCUAUGAAAUUUGGGGUUUUUAGGUUUUAGCUCUUUGGAUGGGAUCAAAUGGAUCUCUAGUACCAUGAAUAGAGGGAUUAGAGCUAAAAUCUACGGUUUUGAGAUGGGUUUAGCUUGAUGCUAACCCUAGGGCACCAAAAUAGGGUUUUUGGUAAAGUAUGAGAUUGAUCUCAUUUGAGGCCUUGUAAACCCAAUUGCUAGGUAACGAAGCGCGGGGGCGAAGUCGGAAUUUCGAUUCGCCGAGUGGGUCAAGAGCUAUCGGCAAAAUAAGCCGAUUGGGAAUCAUUUGGACCAAGAAAAUCGAGGCUUCGUCGUAAAGAACGCCGAAGCGCAUUUUUAGAGCCUCCGUAUACACAGAAGGUGGGGGGUGUCAUCCCGAAACAUCCGGGUUUCUUUUUAUGUCUAAGUUAAUUAUAUUGAUCAUAUUGUGCUAUAGGAAUAGUAAUUGUACAUUUCCAUUUCCUUGCAUGCUUUCUCGGUAGUGUAGCGGGGUGAGCUUGACACGUGGACUAGGAUAGCAUGAGGAUUGGGUCUUGUGACAUAGAAUCCUAUAGCGGCAUAAAGAGCCGAACUUAGACAUAUGAUAGCCUAGUAGAGUGGCAUUGAACUAGUGUAGUAGAAACACUAAAUUGAAACGAGUGGCAUGUCAACUAGUAGAAAACUUACUACAAUGACCGAACGAGUGGCAUCGAGUCUAGUGUAGUAAACUUGACGUGAACUUAGGGAUAGUUGAGAUCCCGGCAUCUAGGAUGCAUUGUAUAUUGUGCAGCAGAGGCACAUUGACCCUAGUAGACAGGGUAUCCUCUUGUGAGGAUUGGAUCAUACUCACUAGUCUGUUUUUGCUUGUCGGUGGUCGCUCCACCGAGGCACGAGUCUCCGGAGUACUUCACUAGGGGCAGACGUAGUUGUCCCGCAGACGGUCUCGGUGUGCGAGUGCAGUUUCUCCUCACCUAUGAGAUUGAGAGUGAGUCGAGGGUUUAACCUACGGGUUAACCAAGUAGAUUGGGUAAUAAACAUGAAAUGCAUAGUAGACUUGCAUUAUUACCUUGAGUAGACAUAGUGUAUGUGGUAGUUUACAUUACUAUGCACCUUUAUAUACUCAUGACAUGACAUUAGCAUGAUAGUAAUUGUUGCAUGCAUUAUUAUCAUUGAUGGCAUGAUAGAGUAGUUGCAGUUCAUUUUCUAUCUAUCUAUAUAUCUCUCUAUCUGUGCCAGCUUAGACCUAGUGGGAAAACCGGCGGCGUCGGCGGCCGAACCCACUGGGAACUAUAUUUAUAUAGUUCUCACCCCGUGUGGUUUUGGGGUACAGGUACGCACAGAGGCCAGUCAAGCGAGGACCGCGGCAAGGGCAUAGCGCCCUAAGUGAGUUUAGCUAGUAGCUUUUUCUUUAUGCAUUAGAGUACCCUCGUGUACUAGAUGAUGUUUUGGAUAGUUAUUAAAGAGCUACUUGUAUUUUGAGGAAAACCUGUAUUUACAUUUUGGAAGAUGGAAAUGUAAAAUAUUCAAAUGAUGUAAAUGUUGAAUGGUUGUAAUAGUUAGACUAUCUCUCUUUAUACACUUGUAUCUACUUGUGGUUCUUGCUCUUAGAUGUAUUGCACUUGUGCAUCGUGUUGAUCAUGUAUGUUAUUUAAGCAUUCCCUGGGCGCUUACUUGUACAUGAUCUGGGUGUUUAGCCUUGGGCGGGCAGGAGAGGUGCUGUCCGUUCGGCGGUCCGUCCGGCGCGCCCGAACUGUGCCAAAUUGGUAGUGGAUUCAGGGCGGGGCGUGACAGUGUUGGUAUCAGAGAGAUUAAGAGCAAGUAAAGAGAGAGUCUAGGAUGGACCUAAGAGACCUUAGGACGGUGAACCCUAGGAUUGUGUAGGUACGUGAGAGAAACGUGAACCUAUGUCGGUUGAGGAAGAAUCCGAUUAGGUCGGAUCGAGUAUAGAUCUCUAGUGUGGCUAGAGAUAGAUCCGAGCGGUGUUAGUUCCGAGCUCGAGGAGUUUUUGUUGGCGGCCGACAACACGACGCUAAGAGUUCGAACUAAUACACUUAUGUACUUCCGCUUAUAGCGGAGCUGAGUCGCGUAAUAUAGUGUAUGCGAUGGAGUUAAGUGGGUUAAUGGCUAACCCAAUUGUUGCGUUGCAGGAGAUAAUGUCCCCAAGACGCUACGUACGUAGGUCCGUUCCGGCACCAUCUCCUGAUGUGCCCGAGGAAGCCGGAUCUAGUGAGGUACAAGAGUUGCGUGCGCAGGUGUCGGCACUAACCGGCAUUGUGCAGCGCCAAGAAAGUCGAUUCGAGCAGCUCCAAGGGCUUAUGGAGCGGCAUUUUGCGGCGGCAACUGCAGCUGCGACUGAGGGUCGUGAUCCGCCCCCGCCUCCAGCUCGUGCGCCUACGGCGGCUGAGGGUGAGGGCAUUGCGGCAGUUCCGGUGGCGGCACGUCCUCCGCCGGCGAGCGUUCCUCCGGCGGCGUCGGGUUCUACGACACCCGAUGCGACGUCAUUGGAGGCGGAGAGGGAGCGCGCACUUGCGGCUCUCGAGAAGUUCCGAAGGUUUAAUCCACCGACCUUCGAGGGGGAGAAGGUCGAGCCAUGGAUGGUUGAGUCGUGGGUGGACUCAAUGGAGACCUUGUUCGAGGACCUCUACACCUUGGAGAGGGACAAGGUCUACCUCGCCACUCACUGUUUGGAACGAACGGCGAAGGUUUGGUGGAAGCGAAUCAAGAGGAACCGAGCUUCCGACCUUCCGCCGUUGACGUGGGAGGAGUUUCGGGGGUUGUUCUAUGUCAACUAUUUCCCCGAUAGUGAGAAGAAGAAGCUUCAAGAGCAGUUUCGAAAGCUGAAGCAAGGUAGCCGCACGGUGGCGGAAUAUGAGCGGGAGUUCUCUCAUAUCAUUGACUGCGUCCCUGACGUAGUGCGGGAUGACAAAGAUCGAGCCGAUUGGUUCGAGCGAGGGCUCCGGGCUGAUAUCUACCGGGCGGUGCACAUUUUGAAGCUCACUACCUUCGCGGAGGUGCUCGACAGAGCGUUGUGGGCGGAGCAAGAAAACGCUCACAUCCGGAAGGAGCGAGAAGCGUUCGAGAAUGACGGUGGUAAGAAGCGGGGCCAAAGUAGUUCGGGAGCUCAAGCCAAGUCAAGGAAGCCCCCGAAGUACCCGCGAACGCAAUCCAAGGGCCGCGGACCGCAGUGGUGCACAAUCUGUGGUGGGAACCACGAGCCUAGGACGUGUGAUCAACGGGAAGGGAAGUGCUUCACGUGUGGACAGGCGGGCCAUAUCAGCCGCCACUGUCCAAUGAGGGCUUCGCCUGCCCCUUCGGUCGCGUCGGCUCCGACGACUCCGGCGCACUAUGGAGGAGUCCCACCUGCUGUGUCAUCGGCUGGACGUGCGAUGGUGCCACGCCAACCUGAGGCGACGAGAUCGGCUCCGAGCCGGCGGGUGUUCGCCGCCCAAACUCAAGCCGAGGAACCUGCUGAGGCGGAGGAUCGCCAUGUUCUCGCAGGUAUGGUUUUAAUUAACGGAGUUCGCUCCAGGGCUAUGUUUGAUACAGGUGCUACACAUUCAUUCAUUAGUAGGUCAUUUGCACGCAUGCAUGACAUAGAACUACAAGAGAGUAAAAGCACUUGGAGGGUAUCGGGCCCCGGACGUGAUUUUAUAGUCCGUAUGGAGUGUUCGUCUUGUCCAGUGCGGUUGGGCGAUUGGAUAAUGCCUAUCCGUAUGUUGGUGUUCAAGAAGUUAAAAGACUUCGACGUCAUUCUAGGGAUGGAUUGGCUCUCGAAGUACUAUGCAACUAUUCACUGCAGAAGUAAAGUGAUUACGUUUCGCGAACCGGGCCAAGAGGAGUUCACCUACCGGGACUGUAGAAGCUCGCGCUUCGCUGCUAUGGUGUCGGCGACGAGGGCGAGGAAGUUGAUUAACAGCGGUUGUACGGCCUACUUGGCGACCGUUGUAGAGGCCGAGAGGACGACUCCGGCACUCGAGGAACUAUCUGUGGUCCGAGAGUUUCCUGAUGUGUUUCCCGCGGAGUUACCGGGGAUGCCACCAGACCGGAAGAUCGAGUUCGUGAUAGACUUGGUUCCAGGAACCGCGCCUAUCUCGAAGGCUCUGUAUCGGAUGGCGCCGGAGGAAUUGAAGGAAUUGCGGGAUCAAUUAUUGGAUCUCCUUGAUAAAGGGUUUAUACGGCCAAGUGUAUCGCCGUGGGGAGCCCCGGUCCUAUUUGUGCGAAAGAAGGACGGAUCCUUUUGACUCUGCGUAGACUAUCGCGAGUUGAAUAAAGUUACGAUCAAGAAUAAGUACCCGUUGCCGAGGAUUGACGAUCUGUUUGAUCAGUUGCAAGGGUCUCGGGUUUAUUCAAAGAUUGAUCUACAAUCCGGUUAUCAUCAACUCAAGAUUAAGCCGGAAGAUGUGCAAAAGACCGCGUUUCGCACGCGGUAUGGACACUAUGAAUUCACGGUCAUGCCGUUUGGGCUUACUAAUGCCCCGGCAGCGUUCAUGGACCUAAUGAACCGUGUCUUCAAGGAGUACUUGGACCGAUUUGUCGUGGUCUUCAUAGACGACAUCUUAGUCUAUUCUCGUAGCGACGAGGAACAUGCCGAGCAUUUGAGAAUCGUGCUUCAAGUCCUUCGGGAGGAGAAGCUAUAUGCUAAGUUUAAGAAAUGCGACUUUUGGCUCCGAGAGGUUGCAUUUCUUGGGCAUCGUAUCUCCGAGGUCGGAGUAUGCUGUCGCAGCCCAAAAAGGUGAGGCUAUCAAGGAUUUGGCCUCGGCCCUUGACAACCGCCCAGAAGGUUCGAAAAGAGAGCUUCGUUGUUUAGCGGGUUAUUAUGACGGUUUGUGGAGGGAUUCUCGAAGAUCGUUGGUCGCACUUACUCGCUGACUCGAAAGGCACCAAAGUUCAUUUUGAAAUGACUGAGGGUGCGACCAGUUCAAGAGUUGAAGGAUAGAUUAACUUUCGACUCCCGGUGCUGCUACGCGUGCAAGAUGAAUACUUUGUGGUUAUACGACCGAUCACAAUCGUCUUAGGGUGUGUUGCCUAGAUGCAGGGCGGGAAGGUGAUGCUUAAUGCGUCCGCGUCAGCUAAAGAACUAUGAGAGAGAACACCCUUUCACGGUGGGGAGUGUUAAAAAGCAAGGAGCCUGCUUGGAGAGCACUUAAGUUGCCGCCUAUAGUGUUUGCCUCUUGCAAAGUUGCUGGUGACGGCCAACUGACCGUGUAAGCGCCGAUGCUGGCGGUUGCGAGAUACUACACGCGACCAAGUAAAGUACUGGAAGAGCAGCUGUUUCAUUCAGCAAACAAGAGAAGGAGCUGCACAUGCGGGCAGGAGAGAACGGUGUUGAGAUUGCUAAAGAGACUGUUUUUUGUGGUUGUCACCGGAUCAGUGACGAAUCAUCAUAGUAUGCUGCCAGUGCGCCGGGAUAUAGAGCAAACAUGUGGCCGACGCACUUACAGCAGUCAGGUGAGAAUCUUGCUGAUGUUGGAGUUACUAGCAUCAGGAGCUCUGCGGGAGCAUAGAGAUGGAACGAUUGGUGGAUCUCCGAAGUGGAUAGCUCCGCAGAAAGUCCGAUUCUAUGCUUACGGCUCUCGUUUGUCCGCAACCGGCUUUGUUUGGAGCAGAUCAUGAUUGCAGAGCCUGCGGACGGCCCGAAUAGCGUCAGGCAAAAGAGGUGCGGUGCGAGACAGGAGCAGUGGUGACCACCGGUGAUUUCAGUGUCAGACUGCCCGAGGGUGGCGCUUCGAUUUCGAAACCGAUUGGUGCGUACCGAAAACACUGAUGGAGGUCCGGAUAGUGUGGAUUAUCACCUAUCAAAGAACGCAAAUGCGGACUCUAUAGCAUUUCACCCGGCAGGACCGGAAGAUGUACCCGCGAUCCUGAAAUGCAGGUCUGGUGGCCGGGUAUGAAGGCUGUGUUGUUCGCUAUGUAGCGCAGUCGCUUCAGUGUAUCCAGCAAGUCGAAGCUGAGCGCCGGAUUUCUCAUGCGGGAAAGCUCCAAAGUCUACCUAUUCCCGUUUUGAAAUGGGAGAAUAUCGCUGAUGGACCUUCGUGGGUCGAUUCCCCCGUUCGACGGGUGGCCACUGAGCGAUCUGGUGAACUUGUGAUCGUAUGACUAAGUCGGCCGCACUUCCUACCCGAUUACACCACCUGGUCGGCGACAGGUUAGUCGCAAGGUGUAUCUAAUGAAGUUGUGAGGUUGCACGGGGUUCCAGAAGCGAAUUCGUGUCAGAUCGAGACCCCGCGUUUACCUGUAUCGCACUUUUGGGGAAAAAAGAACGCCUGCAGAAAGCGCUUAGGCACACGGACUCGAUUCACACCGCGUUCAUCCUCAGACAGAUGGAACAGUCGAAAGGACUAUACAAAUUCUGAGGAUAUUUGCGGGCGUGUGUCAUUGACUACAAGGUAUUGGCAGACCAUUUGAUGGAUGGCCGAGUAUCGCCCUACAACAACAAGUUACCAAAGCUAGCAAAUUGGGAUGGCAACCGUCGAUGGUCCUAUAUGGACGGAAGUGCCUCGAUCCUCGACUAAUAUUCAUGGACGUGAUGUGGGUGAGCAUCGCGCAUUGGGCCAGACGUAUUGCGAGAGCGCGGAAGAGAAGGUCCGCGUCUUGCUCGGAGAGCUACUUACACGGCACAGGUGAUGGCAUAAAGAGCUAUUGCUGACAAACACGUAGAGAUUUGUAAUUCGCGUAUAGCGCCCGCGCGUUUUUCUUGACAGUUUUCACCCUAUGAGAGGUGUGAAACCUUCGAGUUGCGGGGAAAGCUAAAGGCCCCCCGAUAUAUCGGCCCUUUCGAAGUGUGGAACGUGUGGGGCGGUAGCAUACACAAAACAAAUAAAGAUCUUCAGUUACCGGCCUGAAGCUCGCGAGAGUGACAUGAUGCUAUUCCACGUUCUAACCUUUGCAAAUCAUGUCCACUGACAUUCCGGAGCCCUGUGAUGUGCAUUACGGAUACCGGCCGGACUACAGGAAAUCUAAGUUAAUAGGAGUUCCCGCGAUGAUCAUUGCUCGGAGAAGUGGCGGAAAUGAGAAGUCGUGAGAUUCCCUAUGUGAAGGUUCGUCGUGACCAAUCACCGUUACGAUCGUGAGACCACGUGGGAAACUCGGAGGAAAAGAGUGAAAGGCCACUAUAACUCAUACCUCUUGUUACCGAAAUGACAAUAAGGUAUGAGUUGAUUAAGCUUAGUGUGGGGAAAAUGUUUCGUUUCGAGCACAGAACUAUCAUUUUGUAGGAGGGGAGAUGUGAGGCAAAGUGACACUUCUCGCCAAUAACAGGAUUAACUCAUGCAAACCGACAAGGUCGUGUUGUGAGCUUUUUGGAGAAGCCAAAGAUAUUAAAAAUCCCAAAUGCAUUGGAAACGAGUCCACUGAAGCAAAUUGUGUGCAAAAUCUGCACGGACAACAAAACUGCUCUCGGGACCGUUCCUGGCAGGGAGGGAUUCGGUCCUAUCGUCGGAUGUUGCGGCGGUUGCGUGAGGCCAACCGGUCCCUGCAGGAGGACCGGUCCCGAACGUGAUCCGACGCGACGAAAGCCGCAAUUUGCUCUACGUCUGAAAAUAUUUGCUCUCGGGGACCUGGUCUCCACGGCAAGGACUGCGGUCUCCCAGGACCGGUCUCUCUGGGAGAGACCCCCGGUAGCCAGCGACAGCGGACUCCGAGCUGAAGAAACUCUCGGGGACCGGUUCCAAGUCGGGAGACCGGUCCCCCCUGCGCCAGCCAGCCCAGUGAGGCAGUGUCACGGAAUAAAAGGUUGAGUGGGCUUUUAGUGCAAAAUGGCCUUAGUUAGAGGGGUUAUCACAUGGAGAGUCACUCUCCUCCCGUCUCUCAGUUCAACUCUCCUCUCUCUCCCUCUCACACUCUCUGUUGCUCUCUCUCGCUCUAGAAAGAAAAAAGAAGAAGAAGAAGCAAGAAGAAAAGGAAGGAAAAGAAGGAAGAAAAGGAAGGAGAAAAGAAGGAGAUCAACAAAGGGAAGCCUUUUGGACCCUCUCCUUCAUCCUCUGCUUCCUACUUUGAAGCUACAACAAGAGGUAGGUCUUCUACCCUAGCUAUGAAAUUUGGGUUUUUGGUGUUAGCUCUUUGGGAUGGGAUCGUAAUGGAUCUCUAGUACCAUGAAAUUUAGGGAUUCAGAGCGCUAAACUCUACGGUUUGAGCCUGGGUUAGUUGAUGCUCACCCUAGGGCACAAAAUAGGAUUUUUGGUAAAGUAUGAGAUUGAUCUCAUUGAGGCCUUGUAAACCAUUGCUAGUAUACGAAGCGCGGCAGGGGGCGAAGUCGGAAUUUCGAAUUCGCCGAGUGGUCAAGAGCUAUCUGGCAAAAUAAGCCGAUUGGUGAAUCAUUUGCACCAAGAAAAUCGAGCGGCUUUCGUCGUCAAAGAAAGCGCCGAUAGAGCAUUUUUUAGGCCUGCGCGUAUAAUCAUGAAGGUAGGGUGUCAUUCCCGAAACAUCCGGAUUUCUGUUUUAGUCUAAGUUAAUUAUAUUGAUCAAUAUUGUCCUAUAGGAAUAGUAAUUUACAUUUCCCUUUCCUUGCAGCCUUUCUCGGUAGGAGCGGUGAAUGCUAUGACACGGGACUAGGAUAGCAUGAGGAUUGGGUUUUGUUACAUAGAAUCUAUAGCGGCAUAAACGAGCCGAACUUGGACAAUAUAUGCCUAGUAUAGUGAUUGAACUAGUGUAUUAGAAACACUAAAUUGAAACGAGUGGCAUGUCAACUAUAGAAAACUUACUACAAUUCCGAAUCGAGUGGCCAUCGAAGUCUAGUGUGUACCACCUUGAGCGUGAACUUUAGGAUAGUGAGAUCCCGGCAUCUAGAUGCAUUGUAUUAUUUGUGCGGCCAGCAGGCCGCACAUUGACCUAAGAGACAGUACCUCUUUUGAGGAUUGGAUCAUACUCACUAUCUGUUUUUUGCUUGUCGGUGGUAACGCUCACCGAGCACCAGUCUGCCGCCGAGUACUUCACUAGGGCCAGACGUAGUUGUCUCCGCAGAUGGGUGCUCGGUGUGCGAGUGCAGUUUCUCCCACCUAUGAGAUUGAGAGUCAGAGUCGAGGGUUUAACCUACGUUAACCAAGUAGAUUUGGGUAAGUUAACAUAGAAAAGUGCAUAGUAGACUUGCCAUUAUUACGCUUGAGUAGAGACAUAGUGUAUGUGUAUUUUACUUACUAUGGGCACCUUUAUAACUCAGUGACAUGACCUUAGCAUGAUUAGUACAUGUUUGCUCAUUAUUAUCUAUUGAUGGCAUGAUAGAUGUAUUGCACCUUGCAUUUCUCUAUCUAUCUAUAUAUGUCUCUAUCUGUGCCAGCUUAGACCUAGGAAAAACCGCCGGCGUCGGCGGCCGAAACACUCCACUGGGAACUAAUAUUUAUAUAGUUCUCACCCCGUGUGUUUGGGUACAGGUACGCACAGAGGCCAGUCAAGCGGAGGAACCGCGGCCAGGCAAUAGCGCCCUAAGUUAGUUUUAGCCUAGUAGCUUUUCCUUUUAUUGCAUGAGUACCCUCGUGUAUCUAUGAUGAUGUUUUGAUAGUAUGUAAAAGCUACUUGAUGUGAGGAAAAUCUGGUAUUUACAUUAUUUGGGGAAGAUAAAUGAAAAUUAAUUCCGAAUGAUCGCUAAAUUGUCUACGGUGUUUAAAAUUUAGAUCUAUCUCUCUAACCACACCUUGUACUACCUUGUGUUCUUGUCUCUUUAGAUGUAGUGCACUUGUGGCAUCGUGUUGAUGAUUUUUAUGUUAUUUCAGCCUAUUCGCCUAGGCGCACCGUUUAACUUGUACAUGGAUCUGGGUGUUUUAGUCCUUGGACGGGCAGAGAGGCUGGUCGUGUCGGUAAGCGGUCGCGUGCCGGUGCGCGCCCGGGGGACUGUGGGCCAAAUUGUAGUGAUUUCGGGGCGGGGCGUCCAGAUGGAUUAAAUCCGGGCAUAAGCGUGAUGAAUAAGAAUGGUUGAGCCACCUGCGAAACAUUCUGCGUAACAUGUUUUGGGGGUCUCGUGCGCAUUGUGGAUGAAUCUUACCCCAAACAGAGCGUGAUAAACAGCUAAAACGGGACAAAGCGGAGAAAUGCUGAAUAAUUGCCGCUGUUAACCGAUGACGGAGACACCAUGUACCGGUACAUAUUGUAAAACACCGAAACAGCAACUCUCGGUUUGCCUUCUAUGGGAGAUCGUGUUUUACCUCGGUGAAAACAAAAGUGUACCGUACAUUUGGCGUCGGCAGCAAAAAUUAGUCUGCUGGCAGAUUAGUGGUUUUUGGGGGGCUUGGUUGCUAUUGUUGCAACCACCUAUAAAAACACGUCCAACCUCCCCCUUUUUGUCUCAGCAGUAACAAACGAAACGCCUUCCUCUCUCGUCCAUUUCUUCUCCCUCUCUUUCUCUAGACAGCUCUCUACAAGCUCAAGAGAGAUGGAGGAGGAGUUAGAAGGUGGAUUUUGAGAUUAGAUGAUCAAGAAGUCUCUCCUACAAAGUGACCUUGGUAGUGCUUUGGGUUAAGGUGAGUUUAUGCAAAACACUUUUAGGUUGGAUUUAACCCACUAAUCAAGUUAACACACUGGAGACUUCGUAAAUUGCGAGGUUCGAGGUGUUUGAUCUGUGUUCUCAAGUUUUUACCUAGUAUUCUGGGUUCGUGACAGUGGCUCCGACCUAUGGCUCGAUAAUACCCGAGAAUUGAUCGUAUUUAAACAUACGGCUAAGGUCACCAAGUGGAGGACCUUAGCUGCUCUCGGGUUGCUUUUGGCAGGAAUUCGGUACCGGUAUAGUUGAUGGAUUACCGGUACACAUGUGGUAAUGGCCAACGGAGCCUGCGGGUUGCGCAUUCGGGGAGUGUUACCGUACACUUUGCGAAGACUGCAAUUGACAGUUUUAAAGGGUGUUUGUUCUACUUGUUGCUCACACCCCGGACACGAUCCCUUUGGCCGAGUCCUGGGACACUCGAACAACGCGAACGGACAGAGCCUCCCCCAUGUCGGGCCACUAACACAUAUUACAAUUCAACAAAAGAAUGCUCACAAGCGGAAACAUACACAAUCGGCUUUAUACUGAGGUAACAAUAGCCGAAGUGAAAGGGAAUACUAAACUAUACAACUUUACAAGCUUAGAAAGAUUAAUCUUUUAACCAUUUACAGCAUUCAAUACCUAUCACAUCUACAUUCAUUUUACAUAUCCAGGUUGCUUUUAUCAUUUCUUUCUUCUUUACAUCACCACACUUUUCAUCAAAAAUGGAAAGCUUUACAUUUCAUUUCUUUACAUUCUAACAUCAAAUUACAAAAAGAUGGAUAUGGGUAAUCAUCUACAAAUAUGGAACCCAACUUGGCGGUCACUGUCAUACGGCGCAGAUACCCUUUAAUCGCGGUGGUCGCCGGCCGCUCGUGUCCCGCUGUGUGUGCGAAAUUUAGUGAGGUGAGAACUACAACGAGAUUCACCAGUGGGUUCGGCGCGCAAUCUCCAGUCCGACUUUGUGCACUAGGUCUAACUGAGGCAUAAUAGAAAAAUACAGCAGAUAGAAGUAACUAGCUAUAAAAUGCAGUAAUAUGACUGACAAAAUAAUUCAAUGAUUUGCUCAAUUGUGAAGUUUUGAGGAGCGCCCUAAGGAUCAAGUCUGAGAUUGAAUCCAACACCUAGAGCAGUGUGAAUAGGUGUAAUACCACAAACCACAAAUCUCAAUGCGAUAAAAUCAAAUGCGAACAUCUAAGAAAUCACACCGAAAUUUACGUGGGAAAACUCCAACUUGGAGAAAACCCAUGCGGACAGACACGCGAAAAAUUAAUUCACUAAGAAGAAAGAUCACAAUGGUAUUACCGGAUCCACGGACCAACCUUUUAACUCGCUAUGAAUCUCGCGAUCCUCCGCGUUGUCACGCCCUCACUUCGAUAUCCACGAACGCCUCGCAAUGUCCGAAUCCAACGAAACGCCAUCUCGAAUCCACCAGAGCCCACGAUUCCGAAUCACACGAACGCGUCAAUCACCGCCGAUCACGACGCCAGUCAUGAAAGUACAUCAUUAGUAUGCGUGAUCCCUCGCUUAGAGGUAUCGAUGAAAACAGGGAAGGAAACUCUAAGGCGAAGCGGAGAUCAAAUCGACACUAUAGAUAUGAGAUUUCAAUAUCUGAUUUGCCGUAAAGAGGCUAGUAUUAGAAAAUAGGUUUUAGAUGAAAUCCAAGCCUCUAGGGUUUCUCAAACAUGUAUUCUCGUGAUGCUUAAUGUGUUAGAGAACCCCAAUAGCUUAUUUAUAGACUUUAGAAUCAAUUGGAGUCGGAUUAGAAAGUUUUCACGAUUUUACAUUGUGUACCGGUACACUUUAAGCUGUCACCGGUUACACGAUGACGGAACGAAAAACCUGACGAAACAGUGAAACCGGUUACAUCCUCGAUGGCCGUAUCGGUACACAUUUUGUAUCGGUACACUUCUGAUGCUGUACCGGUACACUUUGUAAAUUUUCGCCGUUUCGGGUUUUGCAAAGUUCCGAUGCACUUUCUAAUCCGUUAGACAUUGAUAUUAUGAUUCUAAUGUUUACAACUAAGUAUGAGUCACCAUAACAUGAAUUUAUACUUUACCUGGACAUCAUGAUUCAUAUCGUGAGUUAUUUUCCAACUUCUUCGAAAUCUUGAAUUCUUCGAUCUUCGACGAUAUGCACCAAUUCUUCAAGACUCCGACUCACUUCACGAAACUUGCCAACACAUAAGACUUAACAAUCUCCCCCUUUGGCAAUUUCGUGACAAAACUCACACAAACUCAAAAAUUACAAUUAAAAAGAAAAAAACGAAGUUCAAUUGUCAUCACCAAAACAAUGAACCCCUCGCAUGUGAUCCAAAUACAAUAUGAAAUGCAAAAGUACAUCAAAAACUCCUAAAACAGACUCUAUGACUUAGACACAACUAGGAGUCUUGAAGUGUUGAUUUCCAGCAAAACAAUUUAUCCAAAACUUUCUAUAGAGAAUUGUUUUGUUGAAACCUGGAUAUUCUUGCAAUUUACGCUUCUUCUCCCCCUUUGUUCUUCAUUCCUUCUUCUCCUUGAAACAUCACUCCUUAUCUCCCUUUGCUUUAGAUUAAUACUGUAACACACUGGACCUUUGCGAAUUGCGAGGUUCGAGUGUUUGGAUGUGUUUCGAGCUUUUCCGCACUUGGUGGAGGGCUGUAAAAUGUUUCCCGACCCGAAAAGUUCGAAAUCUGGAACUUCGGACUAGUCCUGAGAGUUUUUACUCUCGGGGACCGGUCCCUGGAGGGAGAGACCGGUCCCCCCAGUGAGCAGUGUUGAGGCAGCCUGAGGCAACCGGUCCCUGGCAGGCGAGACCGGUUCCCGAACGCGUCUUCGCAGUGAGAGACCGGUCCCGCGCAGGGAGAGACCGGUUCCCGAACGCUUGUUUUUCGGGUUCGCAGCGAGAGACCGGUCCCUGCUGGGGAGAGACCGGUCCCUCUGGGCGAAAACUGCCCAGUUCGGGCUGAUGCAAUAUUGGAUUUUUGAGGGGCCUCACUGGAUUUUGUUACAUUAGAUGGGCUUAUUAGCCAUUUCCCCCUCUUCCCUCUCUCAUUCUCUCAUUCUCACCCUCUCCCUACAUUUUCUAGAGAGAGAAGAAGAAGAAGAAGGAGGAGAAGAAGAAGAGGAGCUAGCUUGAGGGAGCUUGGAGCUCAACCCCUUUCUCUCUUUCCCACCUUUGCAAGGCUUGGAGCUUGCUUGUAGAGCUUAGUGGUGGACCAAACUUCAACCCUAGGGCAUUUUGGGCUUGGAUUGAAGCUUCCAAAGGGUUAGUAUCAUGUUUCCCUCCUCUAGAUUCUUGUUUUUGUGAUUUUUGGGAGAUGAAACCCUAGAAAUGAGAUUUAGGGCUUAUUUUGGGCAUUUUUGAUCUAGGGCUUUUGGACCCAAAUUGAUUGGUUUAGAACCUUCCUAGGGCUUGGAUUGGAAGGGUUCUAGCUCUCUUUUGGAGCUUUGGGAGAGAUUUCUACUCUUGAGGUAAAUUUUGGCCCUUUUUGCUCCUAGGUUAAUGUUUGAUCUUACGGUUGGUCGUGAUGCUCCCGUAUCUCUUCACUGACCACUUUUAGGGUAUCUUGAGGCUCGUGGACAACUUCGUUCGGCGAAUCGAGACCCUACGCGACGGUUCGGUGGGUUUGACCUAGCCACACAAUGAGAAAUUCUCAUUUGUGCUUAAUUAAGUGUUGUUAAAUGAAAAAGCAUGCAUAUUCUUGUUAUAUGUAUUUAUUGUGAAUUUUAGAAUGCUUAAAAGGCCUAUGUUAUAUAUGAUGAAAUUUUGGACCUCUAUGUAGUAGAGAGUAGCUUAUUGGGCCAUAGUUGCAUUUAGCAUUCUACAUGAGACGUGGUAUCAUGCUUCUAUAGUAUAAAUGAGUUCGGAUUCAUGCAUUUAAACCUAAGUUACUUGUGACAUGAAAAUUGACAAGAUUGUCAUUUAGAAGCUAUGUGAAUUAGAGAGCUAAUGUCAUCAAGCGGCAUUGAGCUCGGGACAUGUGUGAACCUAGUGGAUAGGGCCAUCGAGGGACUUGGGAUACAUGUUGGACACCAAAUUGCCUAAGUGUCAUUAAGGGGCACUAGGCGUAGCAAAUGUUGAAACUUCACAUUGUGACUUGAACUAGAUCUUCGGGAUGCUAGUGACUAUACCAUGUUAGAGACAUGAGGAUUGGAUACUUGAGACUUGGACUUUGCUUGCUUGCCAUUUGUGCUCAUUCGCACAUGCUUGUGAGGGUCGCUCCCUACAAGCCGGCACUCCGGAGUUAGCCUAUGCGACUUAUGUUCGCUCGUGCGGUAUUGAGAAGCCUACGGGGUCGAGUGGGACAGACACAUUCCAAGAGUAGGGAUGUUGGGCUACCACAGGCACUUAGGCGGCACAAGCUGGACUACCUUUGGUAGGUCCUUAAUUGGAAAUGGAAAUCGACACGGUGUUGAGAAUGGUUAAUCACUACUAGAUAGGUUUAGUAGUUGAAUUACAUUUAUAUGCUUUUAGCAUAGUGUUGAGACAUGUAGUAUACUUGAUAGUCUCCUUUUGCAUUAAAGCAUACUUGGUUGCCAUGACAGAACUUAUGCAUAAUGUAUUCAUAAAGGUUAAUGACUUACUAUUUUGAUAUCGUAGAUGUACAUCACCAUGACAUCGUUUAUACUUGAGUUUAGUAAUUUAGCAUUUUAAUUAUGCCUUUAUAUCGCAGUCAUUAUUGCUAUUAUUAUUGUACUUACCCUUUUCUUUUGGGGCCUAGUGGUGCAUAGAGCUGAGGUCAGUAAUUGCCCACUGGGAACUAUAAAUUAUAGUUCUCACGCCCUCUUUUUCUCGAUGUUUUUCAGAGCCUUCCGCUCAGGGUGAGGCCAGGGAGCGCGGAAAGGGUAUCGCCUCGGGCUAGCGCGCUUACCGAGGGAUCGUUCGAUAGGUGGUCUACCUCUCGUGUUUUUCUUUUUGUGAGAGGUUGAGAGUUGUACCCGUAUAUGUAUAGAGACCACCAUUUUUGUACUAGAGACAGUUAUGGUACUACUUAUGGUUAUCUUUGUUUGACUAGCUUUAUUUCUUUACUUUGGUGUAGAUGAUAAAACUUUACUUGCUCUGAUAUCACUAGUUGCUAGUUAUUUCACUUCUCUUAUUUGUUCCAUCUCUUGCUUUUACUUCCUAUUUUCUUGUAGACGCCUUAUAUGUGAAGACAUAUGGCGGGUCUGGGCACGCUACCGGGAGGGCCUCCGCCGGUCCCGGGGCGUGACAAAUACCUACCUGUUCAUCAUCAUUGCUCUCCCCCUUUUUGUCAAAAAUUGCCAAAGACAAAGCAUAUAAAAAGAGAAAACAUACUAGAAAGUAUAAUAGUAGGCAAUUCAUAGUUACAGGCCUAAAACAUGCAAAAGAAAGAUAAGCAAGCAAAGCUGAACUAAACAUUGUCCUAAAAAGUAAACAUAGUGAAGUAACAAGACGAAGCUCGAGGAAGACAUCACUCCGUGUCCUCGUCAUCAUCAUCAUCAUCAUCAUCUCCUGCGCCAGCUCCAGAUCCCCCAGCCUCAGGAGCAUCACCAGACGGUGGAAUGAGAGGAUGUCGUGAAGUCGAUCUUGUAUACGUGGAGUAAGUAGGCUGAGUAGGAAAAAUAUCAUCAUGCCUACAGCCCAUUUUCUCCAUCAUUCUCUUCAUUCCCAUCUCCACCUUCCUCGCAAGAUCAGCCAAUUUCUUCUUCAUAGAGCGCACCUCAUGAUGAAGUGAUUCUACAGUAAUCACUCCCCCUGAACUAGAAGAUCCCUCACGUGCUGCUCGAGGUGGAGGAGCUGAACUAGUAGCUCCUCUGGAUGAUCCUUUGGUUUGCUGAAAAGUCUUCAAUGUGCUCCUUGACUUUGCCCAAGUUACAGCAUCAAUAGGUCCAAGUCCAAAGUCAUACUUCUCACAUGACAUGUCAACUCCAUGUUCUUGAAGAAUCCUCGUGAUCAACAACGGAAACGGAAGAAGAUCACGGCGAACCUGAGACUGUAUGACAUGAACCAUUCGUUGCCACAUAAGAAAAGGAAUAUUGAUGUUUAACCCGUCUGCUUCCUCAGGAUGUCCCAGAAGAUACAGAAGCACCAGACGAUCCCAACGAAUUCUUUUCGUUCCAAUUGUCGGUUGGACAUUAUAGCUCAUCACCAAAGAAAGUAGAUGAUACUCAGGUAGUAAAUCCUUAGACUCCACAUAAGAAUGAUUGGUCCUUACACCCUCCUUGCAUAUAGCGCGAAUAACAGUCUCCCAGUGGGUUGAAGACUGAUAAAGCCCUGUCGUAUAAUGAAGGCCUGUAGUAUCCACAUGCAUACCUAAGAGCUCUCCAAUAGUAUAAGGAGUGACUUGAAUCUUCUGCUUACGCACAUAUAUCUCAAAUACAUAAGUCCCAGUCUCCUCAUCCUCUCCAAGUACCAUCCCGUUCAUAUAGAACUCCCGAAUGAGUUCCACACAGAAUGGGGCACGAGCUGGAACCCGUCCAACAGGCUCAAUAGGGACCCUCUGCAGCAAUCGACCAAAAUCAGGUACCUCCUUGACCAGCUCAGUAAAGUUGACAUAGCGCUCAGCUAGAACUGAUCGGCUCGAAUAAAUCCGCUGUCGUUCUGAAGAAGCCUCUACAGCACGUUUGGAGCGCCUUUCACGUGCACGAGAAUCACCUCCUCGCGAGGAUUCUCCUGCUAGGCCUUUACCUUUAGCAGCUCGAGUAACAGCUUCUUCAGUAGCUUCAGGCGAGCUUGCUUGAUAAUCAGGAUCUUAUCCAGAUGACUCGUCGGCAGUACGAGUUCUCUUUGAUUGACCACGUCGUCCUCGACCACCACCACGGCCACGACCGGCGGCCAUAAGCACCAAAAGUAGGAUCACGAGCGAAAACGCCAUUUUCCUACAUGAAAAUGAGCCAUUCAUGAAGAAAAUUUUGAAAAAAUCUGUAAAAAUAGCGAAAAAAUAUCUAAUAAUCUUAGAAUGCAUACUGAUGCUAUUUUCAACUCAUUCAUGCAAAAAAUUUCAUCAAAAAAUGAUAUUCCAACAAAAAUUCCGAAAAUCCAUGUAUUAUGAUAUAAGGAUCAUAGAUCAGCGAAAAAUAACGCAUUAUAACAUGAUUGAAAUGAUCUAGAAGCAAGAUAAUGUCCAUAAACACUGAUCUACAGUUAAAAAAUUGCAUCAAAAACGAUCAAAAACAGAGAUCUAGCUUCAACUCGGAAUAUUGUUGAAAAAUAAGCAAGAACGCGAUGAAACAAUUUAAAUCCAAGCUAAAUACUCACAAAUCUUUGGGAAAACCAAGUAGAUCUAGAAGAGGGAGUCCCCUGGCGAUUUUAGAGAGAGAGAGACCGAAAUUUGGUUUUGAUUUUAAUGAGAAUAAAAGCCCUGUAACCGGUUAUAUUUCCGCGGCUACAGUGAUUUGUACCGGUACACGGGAUUUUGUACCGGUACACAUUCCCAGAUUUCGAAAAUAUGAAUUUAAAAACCCUUUAAACUUAAAUUAAUUUCAUACAAAUUAAGGACUUUACUCAAAAAAUUAUUAUAAUGAAGAUAGAACAUUAUAAGAUUUCAAAAUCCAUCGAAACAUCACAAUUUUGUUAUCAAAGAUAGUCUAAUGAUUCAAAACUAUCAAGAUGUAAGUUGAUGAAAAAUGAUUUUUAGAAAUUCAAUAAAAUUGACACCAAUUAGUCGCAACACGUUCAAAAUAGAGAUUUAACUACUAUGGCACCGGGAGUGGCUCUUUGAGCAUCUUUUUAACGUACCACCUUAUAACUCCGAAAAUUCUAAUAUAUUUAAUUUUUUCAACCUUUCCGGCUUUUCAAUUAAUCUCCAUGUGGUAGCUUCAUACACUUGCCGGACGACCGGGGUGGUAGCUCUUUUCUACAUGUGGUGGUAGUUUUCACACUUCUUUUAGGAUAUAACUCUUUCCACAUCUUUUAAACAUAGGAGUUUUUUUUUUCUUUUUUUUAUUUUUAAACAAUUUCAAACUCCCCCUAAAUUAGACAAUCUCACAAUUGAAGAUAAUUUUGACGAAUUUUAGUCAAUUUGAGAAUAUCCAUCCAUCAUAUUCAACACACACAACCAAGAUGAACUAAUCAUCAAGAGAUCAAAUUUGAUUUCAAAAUUUUGAUGAAUAUAUGUAAUAAGAAAUCAUAUAUUAAAUUAUCGUCAAAAUAGUAAAGAGUGGAGUAAAACCGAUAAUUAAUAUGAAUUUAAUUCAAGAUGAAUUCCGGUUAAAGAAAAAUUCUAAUCUCCCCAAAAUAAAGAUUUUCAAUCAUCUCCUCUCUCAAAGAAAAAUUUUGAAAUUCCCAAAUACCUUUCCACAAAAUGAUUUUUUUUUUUUAAACCAAUAAAAAUUCAAGCACCAAAAAUCGUCUAAACAUGUAAUGCAAUGAAUAAAAAUAUGCAAUAAGCACCUAUCAAAGCACUACACAAGAAAUAAAAAACAACUAAGACGGGAAGCAAGGAAAGAUAUCACCUUUCCGGAUCCAAACUUGUCGGAUCUUUGGUUUUCUCGGCUUGUCGACGUUUGGUGCCGUUUGUUUAGAUUUUUGAUCAACCGUUGGUCGUUUCGUCGCUUGAGACUUCGGUUGAACUUGUCGUUGAAGCUUAGACACCCGAUUUGCAUGAACUUGGCGUUGACGUUGUGCGCUACAAAUCCGAUUUGCUUCAGAGUUCGGUCGGACUUGAUGUUGUGCAAUAGAAAUCCGGGUCCCUCGAUGUGUCGACAUUGCCAAUUGAUUCAUCUUUUCUUUGUUUAGGCAAUUCCCUUUGAUGUGUCCAUUGAUGCCACAUUUAUGACACACCUUGUCAUUUAAAGUUGUUGAGACUCUAGAUGUUGAUUUUGAAUCCUUCUCAACGUAUGUUCUUUCAUAUCCGAGUCCCAACUUAUUCGUUUGACCCAACCCGAGCAUAUGAUCCAAUUUCUUAGAUCCCAAAGAAAAUUGUUGAAUGUCGGAUUGAAGUUGAUGAACUUGAUUAGUCAAAGCUUGAUUGGAUACACAUGUUUCCUUGAAUUGUUGCUCCAAAAAUCCAAUCUUAUCUUUAGAAGAUUUGAUGGUUGAUUUCGCUUCAUCUAGCUUUUCUUGGAGGUCCGAAUUAUUUUUCAAGUUUGAAUCCCUUUCCUCCUCAAGAGUCUUAUUCAAAGUCUUUAAGUUGUUGUUUUCCUCCUCAAGAUCCAACAAACGACGCCUCAACUUCUUAUUAAGUUUGGCCAUCUUUUUCGACUCAAAAAGAAGUUGAUUGUACGCUUCCGCUAUGUCGUCGUCGUUUGAUUCCUCCUCACUUUCACCAUUGUCGCUCGAAGAGUCAUGCGAAGAAAGAGAAAUAUCGGAAUUCGUAGCAAUAGAGAACAAACAAAUAACAUUGGACGAAGACAAAGAAUUAUUAGCAAUUAAAGUAAUAUGAUCAUUCUUUUCUUCGUCACUUGAACUUGUUUCACUUGAAGUUGUAUCAUCCCACGUCUUUGCUUGCAUAGCCUUUUGUCUAUAGGUCUUCUUUGAAGGACAAUCCGUCGCAAUGUGGUCGUAACCUUUACAUUUGUAGCAUUGGAUUUCUCCUUCAAAUUCAUUUUUUUCUUUUGAAUGCUUUGCAAGUUUCCUAUCCUUAGAUUUAGAAGAUGUAGAUGAUUUAGAAAAAGAUUGUCGCUUAGACGAUGAAGCCUUGUCCAAUUUAUUCUUGUUCCGGAAAUUCCGACGAAACUUCUUUGUGAGGAGCGCUAAUUGAUGUUCGAAAUCGGCAAGCGAAACAUCUCCGUCGGAAUCCGAGUCGUCUUCUUCUUUCUUUGUUGAUUUGAGUGCAACCCCUGUGCUUUUAGAAAAAGACUUGGAAGAGGAUUGAUUAGUAGGAAAAGUCAUCUCAUACGUUUGUAAAGCGCCUACUAAUUCUUCGACUUUCAUCUCGUCCGGAUGCUUAACGGUUUCGAUCGCGGCAACCUUUACCCGAAAGCAUUCCGGAAGAGUUCGAAGAAUCUUUCUAACAACUUUAGCAUCCGGGAUUUUCUCUCCCAAGUUAGCGCAUGUAUUGACUACGUCUUGUAGACGUGUGUAGUACUCGGUAAAGGUCUCGUUUUCAUCCAUAGAAAUAGAAUCAAACUUGCUCGUUAGCAUUUGCAAUUUUUGGACCUUUACUAAGCUCGUUCCUUCAUGCGUAACUUGUAGAGUAUCCCAAAUUUCCUUUGCCGUUUCGCAAGCCGAAACACGAGUAAACUCCGUUUGAGACAAUGCAUUAAAUAAAGCGUUUAUGCCCUUGCCGUUAAACGAAGAUGUCUCGUUUUCUUCUUUCGUCCAUUUGUUCCGUGGUUUUGGCUUUUCAACAUUAUCGACCUUUUCUAUCGGAUGUUUCCACCCAAAUUCAAUUGAUUGCCAAACCCGCUCAUCGAUAGCAAUUAGAAAAGCUCUCAUGCGAACUUUCCAAUAGGCAUAAUUCGUGCCGUCGAAGAGCGGAGGUCGAUUAAUGUUACCACCUUCGGCCAUUAGAUAACAAUUUAUCUAGAUCCCGCUCUGAUACCAAUUGAAAGUUUUGAGGAGCCCAAGGAUCUAUCUAGAUUGUAUCCAACACCUAGAGGGGGGUGAAUUGGUGUAAUAGCCACAAACCACAAAUCUCAAUGCGAUAAAAAUAAAUACGGAAAAUAAAAAUCACACCGAGAUUUACAUGGGAAAACUCCAACUUGGAGAAAAACCCACGGGACCAACACGCGAAAAAAUAAUUCACUAAGAGAAAAGAUUACAAGGUGAUUACCGACUCCACGGACUCAACCUCUCUUAACCUCCUAUGAAUCUCGCGCAAUCCUCCGGGUUGUCCACGCCCUCACGUUCGAAUCCACGAACGCCUCGCACACGUCCGAAUCCACGAACGCCACUCGAAUCCACGAGCCCACGAUCCGAAUCCACGAACCGCCGUCAAUCACGCCGAAUCCACGACGCCAUCAUGAAACACAUCAUGUGUAUGGUGAUCCCUCGCUUAGAGUAUCGAUGAAAACCAGGGAAGGAAACUCUAAGCGAAGCGGAGAUCAAAUCAACAUAUAGAUAUAAGAUUUCAAUAUCUCGAUUUGACCUAAAAGAGGCUAAUAUGUAGAAAAUAGGUUUUAGAUGAAAUCCAAGCCUCUAGGGUUUCUCAAAUAUGUAUUCUCGUGAUGCUUAAUGUGUUAGAGAACCCCAAUAGCUUAUUUAUAGACUUUAGAAUCAAUUGGAGUCGGAUUAGAAAGUUUUCACGAUUUUACAUUGUGUACCAGUACACUUUAAGCUGUCACCGGUUACACGAUGACGGAAUGAAAAACUUGACGAAACAGUGAAACCGGUUACAUCCUCGAUGGCCGUACCGGUACACAUUUUGUACCGGUACACUUCUGAUGUUGUACCGGUACACUUAGCAAAUUUCCGCCGUUUCGGGUUUUGCAAAGUUCCGAUGCACUUUCUAAUCCGUUAGACAUUGAUAUUAUGAUUCUAAUGUCUACAACUAAGUAUGAAUCACCAUAACAUGAAUUUAUACUUUACCUGGACAUCAUGAUUCAUAUCGUGAGUUAUUUUCCAACUUCUUCGAAAUCUUGAAUUCUUCGAUCUUCGACGAUACGCACCAAUUCUUCAAGACUCCGACUCACUUCACGAAACUUGCAAACACACAAGACUUAACAAAUUGAAUUACUCAUGAUGAAUGCAAGUUCUCGAUCUCGAAGUUCAAUCUCAUGGCUAACCCGUAGGUUUCGCCCUCAAGCAACUCACCAACUCGUAAUCCCAAUUGUCGAGCGAGACUACUACAACCCGACAGGGACCGUCCUCUGGGGAGACUACUACACCCAGUGAUGACUACUCCGGAGCUCAUCACCCGAGGGGGAGCUACCGCCCUCGAGCCAAGACGUAAGGCGAGUAUGAUCCAAUCCUUAACUAUAAGGAUAUAACUUCAAUCCAUUCCUUAACUAUAAGGAAACAAUGCAUUCAUGACCCUUAACUAUAAGGUUGUAUGUCACAAUGUCAUCUCUCACAUGUACUUGCAUUCUUUGUUUUCGAUCAUGCCAUUACACUAACUCUAGUGUUCUUUAUGCCACAUUUGAUGCUAACUCUAGCAUUUAUUGUUCUUUAUGCCACUCUUGUUCUUUAAAUGCCCCACAUUAACUCUAGUGUUCCAAUGCUCUAGCAUUCAAGUUCAUUGCUCAUGCCACACACACUAACUCUAGUGUUCAUCUUUGCAUUUACUAAUGCCACUCGAUCUACAUGUCAUAGUGUCACAUUGUUCUUUACCUCGACUAGGUUUUGUUAUCACCAAUCAUGCAUACAUAGGGUACAUAGGUUCUCAACCAUCUCAUAAUGCAUUUGUACUCACAACAUGCUACCAUUCACAUGAAUAUCAUCUCAAUCACCAAGGCGGAAACGAAGCCAAAAUGUUUGUACUCACAACAUGCAUUUGUACUCACAACAUGCAUUUGUACCAUAUCAUUUUUGGACGUCGCCUCGGCCCUCCAGGCGGAAACGAAGCCAAAACGUCCGUUUCUUCAAUAUCUUCGUGUAGGCUCGACGAAUCGCUGAACCGACUUCGCCAACACGUCAGAAAUACCUUAAAUUAGGUUUACAUAGGGUUAAUUUAGAUCAAACCCAAACAUUUUACAAAAAUCCCAUUGGAGCCCUAACAUUGUACCAAUGCAAGAAUCCAUCAUAUAACUUCAUGAUUCAAGCAUUAACCAUCAACUUAGCACCCUAGGAUGCCUCUAAAAUCAUUCUAGAGCUUAAAAAUCUAAACCCUAGAAAUCUACCAUUAGAGCUCAAAGCUUACCUCAACAAGCUUUCUCCAAUGAUCCAAGGAAGAAGAAGGAGAAGUAGAAGAACCUCCUUCAAGUUUCAAUCUCCACCAAAUCCUUCUCUUGAUUCCACCUUCAAGAGAGAGAGAGAGGGAUCCUUCUUUGGUUGCUAGUGUGAGGGAGAGGGAGAGAAUGUGUGCGCAUGCUACCAGGACCCGCACACAUAUGGGUGCUGCAACAAUUGCACAAAACCCCUUUCACUAAUAUUAACACAACUUCAGUUUAGCAGCUCAGGUACAGAUACUUUUCGCCGGCCCUUCUGAAUAUCCGUUUGUGCUCAAAUUUGACAGUCAGGCUCGGUUUUUACUAAAUAAACGGAAUAUAUCUUAACUGUAAGGAAGUGAAUUCUCGAAAUAUGAGAGUUGAACUUUAGUUAGAAUCGACUGAUUGUCGACUUGGUGUGCGUCGGAAAGCCGAAGGCAUCAAAAUGGCCAAAGGUGCAUUGGAAUGGAGUCCGCGAGAACAAAUGAUGUAGAAAACCUGCACUUGGCAGAUUUGCUCUCGGGGACCGGUCCCUGGCGGGAGGGACCGGUUCCCGAACAUGGCUCUGCGCGGGUUUGCUCUCGAGGACCGGUCCCCGGUAGGGAGAGACCGGUCCCAUCGGUUGGUGGUUGCGGCGAUGCGUGACGCAACCGGUCCCCGUGUCACACCCCGGGACCGAUACCAAUUUGGGGCGGCCCGAGCACGUCGAACAGACGCCGAACGGACAGAGUUUCCCUUGUCCACCCAAGGCUCAUCACAUGUACAAUUUCAAACAAGAAGUGCACUAGCGGAAACAUACACAAACGGCUUACACGAGGGUAAGCAACAGCCAUGAGUGAGAGAAAGGAACUAAACAUCUACACAAGUAUUAUGAUUCACUUUUGAUCACAUACAUGUAUCCAUUUCAUCCAACUUGCACAUUCAUAAAGUCUUUACAUACUUUUCAUCAUUUCUUUUUACAUCACAUUUGCUCAAAAUAAACAUUACAUUCUUUUCUUUCCUUCCUUUAUACAUUAACAUCUUAAAUCAUCAAAUACAAAGGAUGAUAAAAGGGAAUGCUACCACAAAAUGUAGAUAACCCGACUCGGGUGGCCUCUGACUAAGGUGCGAUACCUUUACCGCGAUCGCUCGCCGGCUCGCUCGGUCCCGGCUCUGUGGAAUAGUGGGGUGAGAACUACAACAAAGUUCCCAGUGGGUUCGGCCCCAACAUCACCGACUUUCCCACUAGGACUAACUCAGGCAUAAUAGAAAGGAUAAGCAGAAUAGCAACCGAACUAUAAUCAUGAUGCUAAUAUGCCUGAACAAUAAAGCAGGAAAUAUGCUCAACGUAAAUCAUGCAAGUUUGCAAGUUCUUUAUUCUUUUACUCUUUGUUCUUUGUUCUUUAAUCUCACGGCUAACCCGGGGGUUUCGCCAUAUUAACUUGCCCACAUUAAGUCCAUCGCGGGCCCUCAGCUUCCUCCCGCUAAGACCGUCCUCGGGUUUACUCCAACCCGUGAUGCAAAACUCCGGAGCGCAUCGCCCGAGGGGGAGUGACCGCCCUCGAGCACGGAUGUAACACACUGGACCUUUGCAAAUUGCGAGGUUCAAGUGUUUGAUCUGUGUUCCGAGCUUUGCCAGAUAUUUUGGAAGGUUGUUGAUAGUGUUUUGACCUAUGGUUCGCAUCCCGAGAAUUGAGGUUUAAAGCUUGUACCAAAAUCCAAAAAGAUGGAUUGUUGGUCCUGCUCUCGGGUCAGCCUCAGCCAGGCUGUGUACCGGUACAGCCUUGAUGGUUGUACCGGUACAGGAUUUGUACCGGUACACCUUGAUGGUUGUACCGGUACACUUCGGAUUUUCUGCCAACCCGAGGCUCGGGUUGGGCUGUUUCGUAGGAAGUGUACCGGUACACUUUUCCGUGUACCGGUACACAAUGCAGACUGGGCUGUUUUCGGGGAGGGGUGUAUUUGUAAUUAUUGCAACCUCUUUAAAUACCACCCCAGCCCCCUUAGCUGCUCUUUUGAGCCCUAGACCUGUGGAGAAAAGGUGAGAACUCUUCCCCUUUGGAUUCUUCUCCAUUUUUGGUGGAUUUUAGUUCGUUUUGAUCUCUCCUUUCUUCUCCUCCUUGCUUUUUGUUGGGUUUCCUCCAUUGUUGAAGACUUGGAGCUUGAAGAGGAGCUUGUUUGAGAAGAGAUCUCCAACCCUACUUGAUUUGGAGCUUGGUUUGGGGCAUCUUGUGAGGUUUGUAGCAUGUAUUUCUCUUUUCAUACAUGUUUUAGUGGAUUUGGAUCUUGUAACCCUAGAUUUUGAGAUUUAGGGUUAGAAAUAGGAACUUUUGAUUUGAGGCUUCUAGAACCAAAUUGAUUGGUUUAGAAUCAUGGUUUAGGUUGGCUUUGAAGGAUUCUUGCUCCCUUUUGGAGAUCAAGAGAGAUUUUCACCAUUUUCGGUGAGUUUUUAGCCCUUUCUUUGAGUUGCUUAAUGUUUGAACUCAUGAAUUGUCGUUUCGAUGUUGUAACUCCCCUAGCCUAUCUCUUAGGGUGCUAGGAGUGAUUAUCGAAGCUUCGUUAGCGUUUCGGACGCCCGCGCGGAGCUUUUGGUUGGUUUGGCUUCACGUGAAUAGGGAAAAAUUCCUCCUAAGGGGUUAAUAUGUGUUGUAUUAUCAUUUUGCAUGCAUUUUCAUACUAGAUAGGAUUUAUGUGAAUUUUGAAUACUUAAAUGCAUGUGUUGCGUAUCAUGAAAAUCCUUCUCUACAUAGUAGAGCAUUAUGUGUAGUGUACAUGUAUGUUUAAAGUAUUCUCUUUUUCGAGUUGGAAAACAUGUUGCAUGUGAGGAAGAUGGUUGAAAUAUGUAUUCAUGAACAUUAAACUCAUGUUUGAAUAUAGUGAACUAGAAUGCCAUAAAGGGGCACUUGACUUAGUAAAUUGUGAAAUUGCAACAUAGAGACAUAGUGAUAGGACAUCGAGACAUAUGCUAUAUUCCAUGUUUUAGACAUGACGACAUAGUGAUAGGUCAUUGAGAUAUUUGCAACAUUCCAUGUUUUAGACAUGAUGACUUGGUAUUUGAGACGGACUUUUACGCUUGCUUGCCAUUGUGCUCAUUCGCACAUGCUUGUGAGGGCCGCUCCCUACAAGCCAGCACUCCGGAGAUAGCCAUCGAGACAUAUGCUCGCUCGUGCGGGAUUGGGUGCCGAAAUGGGAUGUCGUGGGGGAGGCUCAUUCCUAGAGUGGGGAUGUUGACUACCACGGGGCCAUUAGGCACGGCGCAGGCCAGACAGCCUACGGGUGGGUCUUACAUGAUUGGAACUUAGUGACAGAACAUGCCAUUUGGACUUUGAGCAGAAUAGUAAACAAUGACAUUUACUAUUUAGCUUGUGGACAUUAUGUUAGUGAUGCUCGUUUAUCUAACAUAUGGAAACAUGGAGUUGCGAUGUCAACUUUGAUCUAGGGGAUCAAAGUAAGGAUUGAGCUAGUUGGACAUCAUCCUUGAGUGAUUUGUGAUGCGCGUGAAUGAAUUCUGGAGAUAAAUAAGUGUUUCGGCGCAAAUUGGGCGCGAAACAUAAAGUAAAGAGAAUUUGCGGAUUUCCGACGCUAACUUUGAUUAAAAGAAUUAAAGUGAGCAAAAUAAUAUCAAAUGGUGUGAGAUACCAUUUGAUUGGAUUUAAGGGCGUAAAAUAUAAGUCUGGAAUGACUCGUGUUGAAAUCGGAGCGAAAACAGAAGAUUUAGAAUUUUCUGUAAAGAACGGGACUGAGAAAAUUAGCAGAAAAUGCACAGUGUCAGAAAAUUAUGAAAAUUGGCAGAGAUGUCAGGAACACUGUUAUGAGGCUAGCUUUGAAGUUUCAUAUUAUUCUGACACCUGUAGAGAGAGAAAUGGCAUCUGAAAGUUAUCUGAUAAAGAUUACAGUUCGGGACAGUUCGCAGUGACCAAACGGGGUCGAAACUGAAAUGUUAAAAUUUCAGUGGACUUGUUAAGGAAAACCGAGUAUUCCUGCCAAAUUUGAGCUCAAUCGGACUGUCGGAAGGGCUUACGAAAGGUAUUUGAUCCGUGUCGCUACAUGGACUUAAGUCGAGGGGCAUUAUGGUAAUUAACCCAUGCUUUAGUGGAUUUCCACUAAGUUCCCUGCCAGGAUGCCUCCAUCCUUAUCCCCUCCUCUUCAGCUUGCAUACGUAGAGAGAGAGAAGGAGAAAAGAAGAGAAAAGAGAAGAAGAGAGAAGAGAAGAAGAAGAAGAAGAAGAAGAAAAAGAAAGGUGAGAAUUUCUUCUCUCUCUCUCUGCUGACUAUGCCCCUUCCCCUCCCUCUCCCUGCUGUCAGCCUCGGCAGCAGCAGCCUCAGCAGUAGUGAGCAGCAGCAGCAGCAGUUUUUGCUGCUGCUGCAAGCUAGAGCAGCAGCAGCAGCAGCUCUUGCUGCUGCUGCUAACCAGGGCAACAGCAGCAGCAGCAGCUUGUAGUAGCAGCAGCAGCAUGCGCAGCACAGCAGCAGCAGCAGCAGCAGCUUGUAGUAGCAGCAGCAGCUUGUAGUAGCAGCAGCAGCAGCAGCAGCAGCUUGUAGUAGCAGCAGUAGCAGCUUGUAGUAGCAGCAGCAGCAUGCGCAGCACAGCAGCAGCAACAGCUAAAGCAGCAGCUAGCAGCAGCAGCAGUAGCAGCAGCUAGCAGCAGCAGCAGUAGCAGCAGCUAGCAGCAGCAGCAGUAGCAGCCAGCAGCAACAAUAACAGCAGCAAUAGCAUCAGCAGCAGCAGCUGCAACAGUCAGCAGCAGCUGCAGCAGCCAGCAGCUCAGCCAGCUGCUGGAGCAGCAGUGGACAGCAGCAGCAGCUGCUGGAGUAGCAGCAGGCAGCAGCAGCAGCUUCAGCAGCAGCAGCUGCUGUCAGCAGCAGCCAGUCAGCAGCAGUAACAGCUACCCUGCAGGAAAGAAAAGAAAAGAAAAGGAAAGAAAAGAAAAGAAAGAAAGAAAAGCAAGAAAGAAAGAAAGAAAGUAAGAAAGCUGCAGGGAAAGAAAAGAAAGAAAGAAAGAAAGAAAAGAAAGAAAGAAAGUAAGAAAAGAAAGAAAGCAAGAAAGAUGAAAGAAAGAAAAUGAGAUAGAGAGAAAAGAUGGAAUCGAAGUAUUUGGGCAGAUUUUACUAAUUGUUUUGAGGUUCUUGGGCUAGUAAAAAGUUGAAAUACUUAACGUAAUUGUGAAAUUGCAUUGAAACGAGUUUCUAUAGAAACUGACCUCAAUAAUGCACUUUUGCAGGAUAGAAGUCCUCAAAAGAAAUUGACCGCGUACAAACCUAAUUGAGGGUAAAAGAAACGCGUUGGCGAAGUCGGUUCGGCAAUCCGUCGAGCCUACGCGAAGAUAUCGCCAAAAGAACAUUUUCGGCGACAAGUGUCGGGAGCGCGGGUCGCGAUUCGUGGAGAAGUGCGAGAAGUGGAUUUCUCUCAUUCCAGUACCAAGUAAAGGUGGGUUGUGCUUUACCGAAGUGAUUAGGUCACUUCCAUGCCAAAGUAAAGUAUGGUUUCAUUGAUGCAUAUAUGAAUAUGAUUGUCGAUAUAUGACAUUAAUGCUAGAUGCUUAUGAAUGAAUCGGCCUAUAUGAUUGUUGAUAUAUAAUGGUAAUGUGAGAUGAUUUAUGGUAGUUAUCAUAUGAAUAUGAAUG
rnacentral:lncRNA from 1 species